UUUUUUUUUGGUUAGAAAUCAGUUGAUUGUUCAGUCGUUGGAUCUGAUUUGUGCUUUAAAAUUCAGAACGAACGAUGAGUAGAGGGGAUACUAAGAUGAUAGUUCUGGUACGUCAACUUAUAUUUGAGACUUUUGCUUAAAUAUCAGGUGCUGAGACAUAGCCACAUCUUUAAAAAAAAUGAAAAUUCUUAUUUUUUUGUGGGGGUUUUAAAUGAAAAUUCUAACCACGUUUAAUCAUUGAGGUUGCAGUUUGAACCAUCAUAUUCAGUCUACAUCCUGACAGAUUGGUCAUAUAGGGAGUACUUCUCAAACUGAUGUGGGACUGAGCUGGCGUGUGUUUCAUGACCAAUGCAGUAGAGUAGGAGUAGGAGGCAGCCUUAGACAAGGCAUGUCACUUGUGGAUGUUCUACUUUAACCGUUGGCAAUCUGAACUUUAGUGUUGGUUCAAACUAGAAUUUUAGCGUUUCAAUUUAGCUUUGUUGAUUCUAUCGUCAAGAUAUUAAAAUGUGUCAAUCAGUACUAUACUGGAGUAUAAUCUAACUGAGUUUCACGGAACACCUAGAAAGCACCGAGCUGAUAUAGUAGAAUGUUGUAUAUUCUCUCUCGGCCUCUCUCCUGCGCCGCACGUACUCCUUCCUGCACGGGUUUCUCCUUUCCUAGACGAGCUAGCAAACAACACAGGAGGAAUAGGCCAUUUGAGUUUGACCCACCCACCCCUUUUCCCAAAGACGUUUCUCUUCUCAAUUCUCAUUCACCUCCUCCUCCUCCCUCAUCACCAGCUAGCCAAGCCAAGCCAGCAGAGUCCAGAGGGAAAAAAAGAUUUAGGAAUGGACGACGCCUACGGCUUGGCCGGCCGGUCGAUAGAUUCCCACCACUCGGGGCCGCCAUCGGAUCGGACCGCUCAGGACAGCCUGACGUACAUACUACAGCUCGCCAGGCAGAGCCAGGUGCUCGUGAUCCAGCAGCUGGCUGGCCAUAGAGCUAGAGCCGUCAAGCUCUCUCCUCCUCCCCCCUCUUCUUCUUCUUCUAUAAGUACGUCAGCUCCUCGUGGUGCAACAACGACGACGACGACGACGCGCUAUCGAGACCGGCCACAACACAGACCGGAGCAGAGCCUUUGCAUAUAGAUCGAUCACCACUCGAUCUCUACUUGAGCCGGCGGCGGCGGCGGAGCUUAAUUAGGAUUCGAUGGUUGGAGGAGGGAUGCCGCGGGGGGAUCCGCUGGUGGUGGGGCGGGUGAUAGGCGACGUGGUGGACCCGUUCGUGCGGCGCGUGUCGCUGCGGGUCGGGUACGCGUCCAGGGACGUGGCCAACGGCUGCGAGCUCCGCCCCUCCGCCAUCGCCGACCCGCCCCGCGUCGAGGUCGGCGGCCCCGACAUGCGCACCUUCUACACGCUGGUGAGUCACUCCUACUACUACUAGUACGAUAUUACCCACGCCGGCUAGCUGCCGCGUCGACGCUCUCUCCCGUUGCUGGUCUGGCCGAUCACUAUAGAUUUUUGCUUUUUGCUGCGCGCAGGUGAUGGUGGAUCCGGACGCGCCCAGCCCCAGCGAUCCCAGCCUUAGGGAGUACUUGCACUGGUGAGAGAGCUCGGCUCAGCUCAGCUUGCGCUGCUAGCAGAGCACAAAUAAAGAUCUCCUCUCCUGGCUAGUAGUCAUAGGGCUCUGCCUAGCAGCUGGCUGGCUGGCUAGCUUGCAAAUAUCCCCAUGCCCAACCCUCUAUCCAAUCAAAAACAACUUCUUUUUUAUUAUAUAUUUGCCGCAGAUAUUUGUACAUACAGUGUUAAAGGGCCAAAUAGUAUCUUUCCGCACAAUCAAAAGAAAAAGGAACAGCAGCAACAACACGGGCGUUGAAUGCUACUGCUAACAUCGAACUUCAAGGGGUUGAGACUUGAGAGGAUGCUACUAGGCACUAGCUCAUCAAUAUCUCUCACGUGGUGGAGGCAUGGGUGUGUGUGGCCCAGAAAUCUGGGUUCGAAUCCUAUAAUUUCUUGGCUCCAUCUUCUUUCUUUCUUUAUAAUAAAACAAAAUGUGUGGAGGGGCUUGAGUUUCUCCUCUCCUGGUCUCUCCAUUCUAGUUUUUUCCGAAAAUAACCUUCCAAAAUGCCUAGAGCCACAGAGUACACAAGUUAAAUGACUAGUAGUAAAUCAAAACAACAUCAUAUUCUUAUUUAUUCUAUGCAUAGAAUGUGGGAGCGAAAACAAUUUCCAUACUUUUCAAAAUGAUCUCACUACAUAGCAUCCAAAUUAACCUAUCUAUUCUUAUAUGUAAAAAACGAAUCAUAUUAUCUACACCCAUGCUUUUGGGUGGGGUGCCUACUUAUAGCAGCUGGGAACUAUAGCAUCUCCUACAUCCAUUAAAAAAAUGGGACAUGUUUCUUUGCUUGAAACAUGUGUGCAUUUUAUUUUUGGGAGAAAUUUUGUGUAAAAUGCAAGGAGAGCCAAAUAAACACCAAAAAUUAAGAAAACAGUUAUGGUACCGCAUAAAUGAUUAAAUACAGCCAAGAUCAAUAUACAUAUACCAUAACUAAGCAAUAAGGAAGUUGGUUGCUAUGCGCAGCUAGAAUAAAAGAAUAGCGAGAGGACAAACACAUUUUUGCUAACAUUGUCACAUUAUGGGUUUUAAUUUGUUUACAUGCCAAAUCAAACUAAGAUUGAAAUGCAACAAUUAAAAUAAAACAUAUGUUCUGAUGUAAAAAAUGAGAGUAGAAAUUCCUUGCUAAGUUCAGUCAACCCAUGAAAGUGAUAAUAAGGAAAAAAUUAAGCUAAGGAAUUAUUAGAGAUAUAAAAAUUUCAUUUGCUAUAUAGAAAGAUCAUGUGCAUCCUCACUAAUAAAACAAGAUGUCAUCAUUUUGCUACAUGCUAGUAUUCAGUCAUAGGCUCUAAGAUCAUGUUAUAGAAUCUCCAUUCCCUAUAAUAAUACACGUGGUACUUUGUAUUAUCUGCUUUAAUAUAUAUAAUUAGAUAUAUCUAGGGAAAAAUUCUCUAUUGUCAUUUUCAGUUUGAAAUACAAGAAAUGUCUGCACAAGGCUACUAGUAAUUCUCACUAUUUACAAGUUUCAAAUAAUAUCCGCACGAGGCUGCAAGUAAUUUCCUAACAUGUGCACAAUGCCACAUAGUCUUCAGUUACAAUGCAAGAAAAAAAAUCCUUGAGAAACCAUGAAGUAACCUCGUCUGACAUCGGUUAUUUAAAUACUUGUGUUUUUCCAUAAACAUGCUCAAAGUUUUCUCUAAAUAGAACACACUUGAGGUUGCAAGGGCGAGGAAAGUGGGUGAUCAAACAACUAAAUAUAAGUGAUUCGGGGGUUAUAUUGGCUAGCGAUGGUGGUCUAGCCAGCUUGGGUUUUGAUCCUCACCAACGUCUUAAUUAAAUUGAUGUCUAGUUUUUCCCAGACAACCACUUUCUAACUAAAUGUAGUCCAACAUGCAAUGCAUAUUAGUAAAAUAUUUUAUGUUUUUUUUUGCUAAACUAUCAAUCAAAUUAUAGGCCAAUGGGGGUGGGAGUUGAUUCUUGCUUCAAAUAACCGAUACAACAUUGGAUAGAAAUACCGUAAAAUAAGUUAUAGCACUUUUUCUCAAAAUCAGAAGUUUUAACUUGAUUCGAAUUCGAAGCUUGCAUGCUUUAUUCAGCUUUCAUUUUUCAAAAUGCUAAAUGUAAAGAAAAAAGGUUGAGGGAAAAACAAUUUUGUUUUGAAAAACACUAUCACUUUAGUCAUUCACCUAAGUUGCAAUCACGUCGUAGGAAAACCUGAACAUGGUUCAGCUAGGUGCAAUCUUUUUCUCCGCAAAAUGUGAUGCUUAAUUACUUAGUGUUAAUACAAAUUAAUCAUCAAAUUUGCAUCUCUUGUUACACAUUUUUGGGCUACCUGACAGCCGUUGUGUAAAUUACCAUAACAACUGACCUCCUGUGUUUGUCCCUGUUAUAUCAAUUUGUGUGUUACUCUUAAUUAAUGCAAUGUCAUAAAAGUUAAAUAAAAAAAUAUACAUACCCAAAAAUCAAUUAUAAGCCAACAAUAGCUUAGAGGCAAGUCAUAUCACCCCCCCCCCCCUCCCCACAAACGCAGCAGCCAUUUCUUGACCGUUUUCUUGUCAUAUACUAGUUAAUUUUGUCUCUUCCCUGACCUCUAACCAUUUUAUCAUAUGCAUCACAGAAAAAAAAUUGCCAGUAUUGAAUUGCCUAGUAGUUUAGACGGGCACCACUGCUAUAACAUAGCCUUGAUUUGCUCUGACAAUCCUCUACACGUUUAUUUUCUUUAUAUCAACCGGACAUGCAUCAUAUAUACCAAGACCAGACAGUCCUCUACAAACUUAACAAACUUGACUUAGAUUUUUCAUCUGCUUUCUUUCUAAUUAAGCAAAUGCAAAUCUCCAAUGUACUGACUCUAAUUAAUGUGAUCCACUAAUGUAGGCUGGUCACCGACAUCCCGGCUACGACAGGAGUAUCUUUUGGUACAGAAAAAGAGAAAUUACACUUAUGUUUCAUCAGCAUACGGAAUCAGAUAUCAUUUCUGGUUGUAAUCCAAUCAAUUUUAUUUCUCAAAAAGAAAAAUCUAAUAAAUUUUUGUAUGGACGCACAGGGACUGAGGUGGUGUGCUACGAGAGCCCGCGGCCGGUGCUCGGAAUUCACCGGCUGGUGUUCCUUCUAUUCCAGCAGCUCGGCCGGCAGACGGUGUACGCUCCGGGUUGGCGGCAGAACUUCAGCACCCGCGACUUCGCCGAGCUGUACAACCUCGGCUUGCCGGUCGCCGCUGUUUACUUCAACUGCCAAAGGGAGUCUGGAACUGGAGGGAGAAGAAUGUGAAUUUUCUCUCCUCUCUAUAUAUGAUGAUGACAUAUAGGUCGAUGCAUGAGAGUCGGUGGAUGAUUGUAUGGGUAGUUUAUACACGGCGAAAAUGAGAAAGCAUUGUAAUAUAUGUGAACUGUCUUUAUAGUUUUUAUAUAUAGUAUAAAUAUAUAUUUUAUUGGCCGGGGUUGGUUGUGAUGGUCCGUUUGCCGUACCACCUGCCCCUCCGCCCAAAGUAAUUUCUAGCAAGUCGGUUCUGUCUUGGUCGUCCAUGUUUUGGAUUCUCACAAAGUAUAAUAUGGUCAUUUUUAAAAUUUUGCUGUUUAGCAUAUAACUGAGUCUUAUGUAACCGAUGAUUCGAAAGGGUAUUGAUGCAGCAUUCAGGUGAUGCAUUGUUCUAAUAAUACGAGUUGUUUUUUGGACAUGUUCUUAUUUAUCAUGGACAUUAGAUGGGGCGAAAGGGCAUGAUGUUAAGAUUCAAGAAGAUAUAAGUGUGCUUUAGAUUUAUUUUUUCUUAUCUCACUGUUUUUCUUACAGAAUUUCUUGUGUUGAUGUUUCUUCUUGUAGGUCAGAACUUGAUGUACUUCAAUUUUUAAUUAUGACGUACUUCAAUAUGAAGUAGCUCUACAACUUGCUUGGUCUCACAUUUUCCUUUGAUAAGGAAGGAAAUCCAAAUAUAUCUUAUUACAUGUCUCAAGUAGUUACCUACUUACAUUUGUGUUGUUGAAAGGAGAGAGCAGAGGUUGGCAAAUAUAUGCCACUGUUCACGAGGCAUAUGACUACUGGAGUGACCGAGUGAGACUAUCCUCACAUUCAGGCAUAAGAAGGAAGCCACUCUCAUUUUCUACCAAAUACUGCUUUGCUUUAUUUUCUUCUUGCAACUUUAAGGCCUCCCUUCCAACAAAACAAAAACUCUAAGGCCCUAUUUAGAAUGGGCCAGUUUCAGGAAUUCAUACACCUAUUGUUCACAUAUAGUGCAUCUUCUCUAUGCAUUUUCAGGAAUUCUCAAACAGACACAGAAAUGUUCAGCAGUGCACUUGCAAAACAAACUGCAAACAAUGUUGUGAACAAAUUAGAAAGGGACAAGUCUGCACACACCUUUUUUUUUUGCAAUGUUUAAAGUGUUCACUUUUUUGUGCACAGUAGGCAUGUAAUUACCGUUUUGAAUUAAAUUUUGUAUGCACAGGUAUUAUAUAACAUGUUCUGCGUCUGCAAUCUUUUUGAGAAUUUACUGAAAUGCAAAGGUAAACACUUCUUUUUUGCGUGACUUUAAGAUAGAUAUGAAAACUCUAUAAUCUCACGAUAUGACGACAAUGGUACACAUGAAAGCCAUCUUCAAAUAGCAGAAGUUGGCCUGCAGAUUGUUGAACAUGGUAGCUUUUGUUUCAAGAUAAAGUUUGAACCCAAUGAGCCCAUAGUGGUAACAGAAACGAAGAUUUGCAACCCAACCUGUGCUAGUAAAGGGCCGCAUUGGGCUCCUCGCUCGCACUAGGGGAUAAACCGAUAAACCUUUGCAUCAGACCAGCAGCUACAGUCCCCGAAAAAACAAUAGCUACUGACUACUACAGGUGAACUUUUCCCAGACUUCAAACACGGAAGGAUCUUCAUUCUUCAGAAGAUCUUAACAGGUAACAGUUGCAGAAAAUCUAUAUUCAGCACUGAUCUGCAUCAGUGUGCGGAGCUGAAUUUCCAACAGUUGCUAGUAAAUAGAUGACAGAAGAGCAAAGGAAAGGAAAAAUCGAAUCUGGAUAGGGAUUCAAUUGUCAGGUGUGAAAUAAACCAACGACAGAAAAUUCUGACAGUAAUAAAAAUUAAGUUGGUAACGCCACAAGCAUUGUCAAUCGUCCUAUAUAUAUACAUCUGCUAUAGUUCACUCUAAACUAUGAAGUAUAAACAUACACAAAAAUGAGCUAUGUUAGGUUGGUUAGUAGCACUGUCGCAAUUUUCUCGAUCCAGCUGACAGACAGGAAGAUCCCCUCCAGCGACCGUUUUGUAACAAUGAACUCGUGCACAUGAGAUCCUUGGUAUGGCAUCAGUACUUACCAUAAGGGUUAGAUUUGGGAUUAAGAAUUGAGAAAUGGGGCAAAAGUGAUUCACAAUAUGGAGUUUGUUAUGAAGCAAAUGGUGAUGAUUCUUCAAUUGAUUUCUGGUCGGUCGGCUUUAACUCCCAGUUACGAAGGCUACUAGUUGUUGAAUCGGACUUUGAAAUGUACAAGACCUUGUUGUGGAACCUGUGAAGUGUUUUACGGUGACCGACGCUUAUGUAUGUAAUCCCUGCAGCUUCAAUCUGACUGUAUAGAUGAACCUGUGCCAGACGUGAAAUCGUCAAAAGUGGUAUUAAGGUAAAACUAUCAGUGCAGCUAAGUAACUCCAAACUUUGCAUUUUUCAUCAAUUCAUGGUAGAAAGGAGCCCACAAGAGUAAAGACAAGUACAACAGCAGUAUAUUGACAAUUACCUCAUUUGUAUCAUCUAGUGCACUUGUGGACUCAUCCAGUAGGACCAAAGUAGGCUUUGCUAAUAACAACCGAGCAAAUGCAAGACGCUGCUGCUCCCCCAGCGAAAGUACACUGGCCCAAUCAUGCAUAGAAUCCAAGCCAUUGAAACGAGGCAAUAUAUAGCCCAGCCUAACAGCCUCAAGUACUCUGAUCAAUUCCUCAGUUGAGGGCAUCUCAGACUCGGCACCAACUCCAUCUGAUGUGUUGACUUCAGAUAGAAAGGGAAGAUCUGGUAUUCAGAAAAAAAAAAGCCCAACAUAAGGAUGGUUGCACAUGCAUAUUUUGGAACCUGGUCUCCGCAGACAACCCAUAGGUUAGUUCCGCACCAAACAACAAAAUUCAAACAACUGCAGCACUCCUGCAUCGCUAUUAGGAACAGAAUGAUGGAAUUACAAGGAUCAAAAGAAAAAAGAUAGAACUAACCACUACAACUUUUAGAUUUUACUUCUGUUAGAUGGCGUUAUUCUGCAUUUUCUUACACUGCCAUGCAGGCAUGUACUAUCUAAAUUUCAGAACUAUCCCACAGAACCAGUCCUUGAAAAAUGCAUAGAUAUUUUGUAAGAUCAUGCUAGUUUAAGCACAAUAAUACUCCUUUUUACCUCAUUAAGACAAACUGUAACGCCAUAGGGUCCAAAACUUUCUAAAGCCUACACCACCAUGUAACGGACAACAAAUGUGUACUCGCAUGGACUUUCAUCCAGAGUUUGCUCAAAUAGAGUUAACCUGGAGGUAUAAGCUUAGUUCCCUUUGGUUUCUGUGCUGUCUAGAAACUUCAAAAUCAUCUAAACUCUCUGUAUGGGAUUAAUAGAACUGGUACAACACACAUGAGCUAAACUGGACCUGGGUGUUACUCCCUCCAAUCCAUAAAAAAUGUCGCUCAUUUUGUACUAAGUUAGUAGAAAUUUUGUACUAAGUGGGCGACACUUUUUAUGGAUCGGAGGGAGUACAUAAACUGAAAAUGCUCAUACAACUACCAAGUCAAAAAUAAUUUCAUAUUUAUAUAUGGAUAUAUUAUGAGUACCAAAGAACAAAUGAAUCAGUAAAUGCACAGAAGUCACACGUCUGUCUAAAAAAUAUGGCCGGAAAUAGCCCAAUCUUGCAAAACAGAUGGCCAUUCAACUAAGAUAGAAUUUUAUAUUUACAACGCUGUAUAUUAGAUAUCUACCUGAUUCUUAAUCAGAAAUAAGUUUCUGUUGGCAGAAACAAAACAAAGAUUGAGAUACAAAUUGUACUGUGUUUACAUUUCAUUCUUGUAUAUAUGAGCAAAUUUCUCUAUUUCCCCUAACAAACUAAAUUCAAACUUGAUUUCUUACGUGGUGCUUACUUUUAGGACUGUCACUACACAGUUCGGACAAACUUUUCAUGUUAACUUAACAUCCAAACUGACGUAGUUUGCACCAGGAGGGUACUUUGCGCUCAAUAACUCCCUACGAAACAAAUUACCUGUCUUCUGAGCAUCAUUAAUUGGUGACUGGUGAAUUUUUUCAGUCCAUGUAGGAUAGAGCAACUGCUGACGAAGCGUACCCAAGACCAUAUACGGUCUUUGUGGCACAAAGAAUAUGCCAUUAUCUCUUCUCUGCUUGGAACUUUGAAGUAGUUCUUCACCUUCAGGCUUUAUGUUGGAUGGCUUAUCUGAGCCUAAAUUUGAUGUUUGAAGUUCCGCAGAAUCUCUCGCAUGGUAUACAAUAUUCCCAGUACCACUAGUCCAAAGGCCAGCCAAGGCACGCAGCAACGAAGUCUUCCCACUGCCACUGGGUCCCAUCACCUAAAAGUGAAAAUGAGAUCCUCAUAUCAGCCAGAUGUCUCUGGUACUAUAUAUGCUGCUGAUGGUAUAAGUAGUUAAAGAAAUAAAUUACCAGCAGGUGGUCCUUGUCUUUUAAUUCCAUACUGAAGUCAGUAAGCAGAACAUUUUCGCUCCUGGGUGUUAACAAUGUCAAAUUACAGAUCUCUAGAACUAUGCCUGGAUCAGAUUGCAUUACUGAUCCAUUGGAACUAAGAACAGAAGGACUGCCGCUCUUGAAAAAAAUGUUGAUCCCAUCAAUGCUAUCACGUCGGGAUGAUAGCGAAGGCUCAUUUGCAUCCAGUAGAUCAUCAAAUUCACCUGAAGUUCACAGUUUGAUUAGGUUAAUCUAGUUACGUUAGCAAGUAACACUGAGAGAGAGAGAGAGGGAGGGAGAGGGAGAGGUAACCUAAACGAUCAAUAACUGCUGAGAAUGCACUAAUUGACUGAAACUGGAAAACGAUGAGAGAAAAAUCACUGAGGAUGUGAUUGAAAGCAGAUACUGAUUGGUUUAUUACUCCAAACUCGAUUUUUCCUGAGAAGAACAUUGGGGCAACAACUGCAGCUGGAAGGAUCUGAAUUAAAUAUCGGUAACCAUUGGUGAAGAACUCCAGAUUCCGAGAUGCUACCAGCAAUUCCUACAACCAUAGCAUAAAAGAUCAAACACUGGCCCAUUUGCAAAUCUUAAUUGCACCAUAAGUUUCUGGCUGAACAAAAAUAUAAAUAUAGAGCUGCCGCAGGGUGACUGUUUUGUUUUCAAGAAUGGUAUUACAAGCCAAGCCAAUUACCCUUACUCCCGCAAAAAAAAAAUUACCCUUACGAGUAAUUACAAAAACAAAAAUAUAGCCAUGAUUUGAUUUGGGAUCCAAAAAAUGUCUUACUUUCAGGCACUGAUUACUAGGUGUAGAGUAUUUUAGUAGUGGUGCUAGAAUACUAUGACAGCACAUGUAAUACCAAAAUGUUAUUACAGCAUGAUAAAAAAAUAUGGUAUUGAUAAACAUAUAAAGCAGUAUCAAUGUUGAAAUGUGACCUAAGUAAUAUCACGAGAUAAACGUAUUUUUUUGGCAUGCAUUUGGAGCAAUUAUGACAUUUUAUUUUAGUUGCUGAUCUUGCUGACUCUGGAGAUUGUGGCGACACCUCAACUCAUGCGUCUUUGAGAAUGCACAGCCGAACCAUAAUGUGUUGGUGGAUCAGAUCUUGGACAAGGCAAAGCUCUGGAAGUUAGUUGGCUCUAAGGAGCUUCACAGCCGCAGGGGCGGAGGCAGGAAAAAAAUAUAGGGAGGGCCAUAAUAAAAGGAUGAUUUAUCAGGGAGGGCCAAAGCAUAAGAAAUGAAGCUCAUAUGAUGAAAUUGUAAAGAUUAUACAGAGACUGAAGUAGAAAUACGAAACCAUAGGGGGGGGGGGGGGGGGCGCAGGGCUGGCCUGGUCCCUGCCUCCGCCACUGCACAGACGUACCAUACUUGGCCACUAGAUGGAUUCCUUCGCACAAUUUCGGUUAGGCUCUUUCAUAUACCUCUGGGGCAGCUUCAGGCUCCAGUUUCAAGAUGGUUGCUAGGUUUUUAGUCAUGUUUUGGGUUGUAAUCACCUUGUUGUGUUAUCUUUUGUGCCUUCUUGGUGUUUUCUUCUAAUGCAAAAAGAUGCUCUCUUUCAGGCAUGUCCUAGAAAAAUAACAUUUCAUUUAGCCUACCAUAGUAUCAUCACAGUUAACUAUCUUUUGGAACAUCAUAGCAUUAGAAUCUCUGAUAUCUGAGCAUUAGAAAACAAAAUUCAGCAUGAUACACCAAUAUGAGAUUAUGAGUAGCAAUUAACAGAUUAUCAGUUUAUCAUAGAUGAGCAACAGCAUGAUUUUGGAAACCGUUGGUAUUCUGCUUUCUGGAGAAGUGCUGCACAAGAAAAGGUUUCACGAAUUUUUUGAAACACAUCCAAAUUAUCAAAUUAUUCUUUUGUAAAAAGAGAAAAGGGGGUUUCUGGUUUAUUUACAAGCUUGCCUCUGUUCCAUCUACUGCUAGGCAAGCUGCUAUCACCUAGUGAUAAAUGGUCCAACCGUGGUUUUCAUAAUGUUCGAACAAAUAAGCAAAGUGGAGAAAAAAUGAAUAGAAACAUAAGGUGAAAGACAGGUUAUACAAGCAAUGCUUAGUUUCUUACAGUUAGGUUUUGGUAAGCCCUCCUGAACCUAGCCAACAGAAGUUGCAAUUCAUUUUCCUCACCACCAUAAAAAGCAAUUGAUUCAGCAUUUUCUCUAACACGAACAAGCCCAUAACGAAAAUCAGCUUCUUUCUUUUCUUGCAUGAAGUUCAAGUUGACCAAAUUCUGUCACCACAAGCAUGACCAACUAUUAGUUAUUUGAACAAUGAAAGAGUGAACAAUUAUAUCUACUUCGAUGCAAGCUGUAGAUAAACAACGCUGAUAAGAGACUUACCUUACCAAGGAAGACACUAAUAGCGGUCCCUCCAAGAGAAUAGACAACAAGAACAAUGAAUAAUGGUGGAUAGAUUCCAUAAAGGAUGUUGCUGAAUGAUACCAAAUCCACAACAGCAUUGAGAAGUGUCAGAGCAAACGCAAGCGCUGUUCCAGUGAAUGAACUGAGAUCAUCAUUGAUCCGUUGAUCUGGAUUGUCUAUUAGCGAUUGAGACUGAAUCUUAUAGAAUGUUCUGUUUUUGAAGUAGCGCUUCAUGUAAUAACUUGUCAUCCAAGAUCUCCAUCUUAAAGAAAGGGUUUCUCUUGCAUAGUCCCUCAAGACAAAGAACUGCAGAGUGGUUAAGCAGGAAGUUGAAAAUCAGAACACUAGUCUUUUAAGAGGAACAUGACAAACAAAGCACAUGAGUACAUUUCCCGUAAUGAUGAAAGGCAAUAGAAGGUAUAGCAAUCCCAGACACUGCUGUGAAGUGUGAACCAGGAACAAGAGUACGAUCCUGGAAUUUUAGACAUCUAAUGCAAAAAAUCAUCAUGUGGUCAAUCGUGUACUGAUUUUACUAGGACAUUUUUGUCAAAUGGAAGAGACAACCAUGUGAAUUUUAGGUAGAACAUCAACAAUAAAUUUUGCGGCAGCUUCUGGCAGCUGGAAACUUUCAAAAUAAUGGAUCUAAACAGCCUUGGAAAGGAUGCCUACCAUAAUAAAAAACAGAACCCACAACUUUCUUUUGUAACACGAAGCACAGGAAACAACGACUAGAAUAUUAAACAGGAUAAUGCAGUGGUGGAAAAAUGAUUACUCAUAUGCUAACAUCAUCUGAUAUUUUCACUAUUCAUGCCUAGGUGCUACAAAUAGUCAUAACAGCCUAACAGGCUAACAGCUUGAAGAGCAAUACCUACAAAAGAGCAGCAAUAUGCUCACCGGAAUUCCUACAGCAAAACCUCCCAGGUAGUACAGCAGUUGCUUGGUAAAUUGUUCCUGAUCCUUGUCUUGCAAGAGAAAGCACUAAAUAUGCAUUAGCGAAAUAAAAAGAUAAGAUAAUGUACAACCACUUUUGAGUGAUACAUAUGAAAUGCCAUCUCCAGUUACACCCAUACCAAUAGAAGGUCAACAUGUUAUUCUCUUGUCUACUUUGGAUAAUGCAGAGAGAAUUCAAAGUUUCAACUGAGGUAUGUUCUUUUUUAGUACUGCAUUAGUACUCUAAGAAUUUUUAUGUUAUAUGCCUACUUUAAUUCAGAACGUCAACAUUCAGUAUGAGAUCAAACAAUUUUAACAGAACACAAAACAUACCGGCAAGGGCAUUGUAGAAGUCACGCCCCAGAAAGUUGAAUCCAACACUAAUCCCUGUGGUUGCCAGUGUGAGAGUAAAUACAGCAGCAAGCCGCAGCCUUGCUUGGACUUUAUCCUCUGACCACCAGUAAGGGGCAGCAACUUUCCAAAAUCUUCUAGCUAGUGUUUUGAGGUCUGUACCAUCUCUCUGUCAGCAUGAGAUAAAGAAAUGUGCAUUCAUUAGCGACACAAUCAAGGUCCGGUCAAAGCAGAUCUAGGGCCAGUAGCCGCAAAAUAACAUUUAGCAGCACAAGAGGAACCCGCAUAUACAAAGUAACAUGCACAACCCCUAAAAUGUUACUCGCUGCAAGCCUGCAAUUGGAGUUGGAGGCCAGGCCAAUCCAGGGCCAAUAACCAACAUAAUAUCAACUGAAACAAAAUUAUAAACAAAAUGUAAGUUUGAACUCCUUCUCUGAAAGGAACUGCAGCUAAUUGCGUAGUCGCUUUUGCAUUUUGGAAUCUUAUACUGUUUUACCACAAAAAAUCAACCAGAUUGAAGCACAUUAACAAGAAUCACAACAACAAAACAGCAAACUGGCACUUUGCACACGUGACAAACCAUCUAAAUUGCGAUCCUGAGGUCAGUUUGUGAGUAUAUAGUCUCAUCGCUCUGGAACCAUCUGCUGAACUGCAAAACCCACAGUUGCAUAUCGUACGUACCACAGUCUAUAUGUCCGUUGCGAUAUCUAAUAAAUCUAAUAAUGCAGCAGGAAGCUAAAGCUAUUAUUAUUAAGCUGCAAGCCGGUUGCAACACAGACCUAAACCACAGGAGUCAGACCGCAAAAUUUAAAACUCUAGUAGGACACGUAAAACCAUACUGAGUACUCCCUGCGUUCCUGAAAUUAGGGCGUAUAUUGUUUUCUUUGACCGAGACUUUGAUCGAGCCUCAAAUUAGUUUGAACGGAGGGAGUAGUUAAUAAGCUACGCAGUAGUAGUAAGCCGGAAGCAAAGCACCAAGCAGAUCCCACUCAAAAUGCCACGGCGAGGGCCUCAUCGGAGCAGAGAACCACGCGCCAAACCGUAAUCACCUUCUCCUCGCCACCGGGACCAGAGGAGUCGGUGGAGGCAUCUCCCGCGGCGGCGGUCGGAGGCGGCGGCGCGGCCCUCCGUCGCCCGCGGCGGCGCAUGGAGGACGCCGCCACAGCCUGCAGAGGGAGGGGCAGGCCGACGCGCGGCGAAGCGGAGCGAGACGGCGGCCGCAGCGGCUGUGGACGCGGAAGCGGUGGUAGUUGCUGAGAAGACGAAGUGCAGGGGAAGCAGCAGCACAUGGGCAGGAGCAAGUGCAUCUUCCUCCCCUUUUUGAACGCCCCUUUCUCCCCCCGGAUUUUGGCUGCCUCCUGCUCCUGAGACACCUGAGGACUAGACGAGGGUGGAGAAGCCCGCGCUCGUCGUGGCAAGUAAUGGCGAGCCGCCGGCGUGGUGGAUGGACAUGGAGGCGGGAGGCGUACUGUCCAAGCACAGCAGUAGUCAGUAGAGUACAGCAGUCAGCAGUGUACCAGACAUUACUGCUGCUUGGAUAGACUCACUGACAUGCUGGUCCCAGAUGGACAGGGGCCCCGCGUCAGUGACCUGAAUGUGGUGUUGCGGGGUACAGCCAGGAGGUAGCAUCAGGCCAUCAGCACCACACGUAACCUAUCUGAAACUGAAAACUAAAAACAGUACAAGACGGAACAGAAUAGAGCUCUUCUGAGCACAUGUCACAGGAAAUAGAUUGGACCCAAUGGACAUUUACUUUCCUUUCUUUUCAUAGAGAAAGCAUCAUUUUUAUUACAGCAAUGAAUAAUUUACAUUAGCUGGCUAUGGCUGCCAGUUAUAUUUCUUUUAAACCCAGCCUGGCAUACCCUACCUAGCUAUCUACCAAAAUCUGCGACCAAAAACGCGCAAUCUUGUAGCAUGCCAACAGCCCAGCGCGGAAUUGAGAAGCAGAAACAGAUCAAAGAAUCUAGAUGAAUCUGGGAGUAUGGCCCUUUGGCACGGUAAUUGGGGUUAGUCCUUGUGAGACCAGCAGAAGUUUAGUUCAUGUAUCCACGGCAGUUAGGAGCUUUGCACAGGCAAAGGACCUUGCGGUCCUCCGACUCGUCUCGGUCAAAUUUGUAGUCAUACCUGCACAUCAGAGGGAGAAAUGGAUGGGUCAGAAGAUGAUCAACAUAGGUUCAUCUAUGGAGUGUCGGUUACACUCUCACUACGAUCGAAUUGUCAUGUUUCUCAGGUGUAAAUCAAAGUGAACACAGGGUUAAGAAGCGGUACGUCAGUUCUUCUCCUGCGGAGACAUCUCUUUUGGCGAUGAGAAUGAUCUGGCUCUUGUCAUCACCAACACUCACGAUCCUCGCAUAGCAGUUAGGCAUGCACUGCAAUGCAAGUGCAACGAGUAUAUUUCAUUACCAUUUCAUGGGCUAUUAAGAAAGCAAUAAGAUGUAGGUGUGCAAACAUGAUGAAGAAUUACCGAGUGGUUAAUUAGACGGGCUAUGUUUCCUCUCUCUGUAGCAUCAAUCACAACAUCUUCACUUAUUUUGAACAGCUGCGGCAGAAGAAAACAAGAGAAUCAAUACACCAUGCCAGAACACAGAAAUACAUCAUUCAACAUGGACUUUCUUUUCGGGAAUCUCAUUUAAUGUGGACUGACUUAUGAGUAACACCAAAUGUUGGCUGUAAUUUUCAUCCAGAGAUAAUUACACAACUGCAAUAAGUUAUAGCUCUUAAACCUUACAACUUGAAAGUGGGACACUAGAACUUUACAAAUGGCAAGCAAGCAAGAAAAUAACUCACGUAGCAAUCUUUGUUUUCCCUGUGAUACCGUGCUUCCCGCAAAUCAGCAACACUCUGUCUAACUUGAUCACCUCGAUAUUCAAUAACCUGGCACAAAUAACAUGAGUAUAAAUAUUUUAUGGUAUAAUAUUAAACUCAAUGUAGAAAAAAAAUAAAAUUGAUCUAUUAAAAAUGUGCAUGCUUGCAAUUUAACAUGUAACUACCCUAUAGUUUUGCACCACUAAUCAUUUAUAUUCAAAAAAAUUUCAGAGAAUGUAUAUUUAGUGGCAACGUAUCUAGUGAAAACUCUUAUUCAGUGCAAACAAUCUUCGUGAGCCAUUGGAUAAAAUACCCACAGCUCAGAUCAAAGGUGAAAAUCCCACCAUCCACUUAAAUUCAACAAUAGGGGGUUAUGUGCAAAAGUUUGUUUGUGGUUGGUGGGAUUUUCACCUUUGAUCUGAGCCGUGCGUUUUUUAUCCAACAGAGUACGAGAAUAGUUUGCAAGUUUGCACUGAACGGGGUUUUCACCGGAUACGUGGCCGUAUUUAAUUGGGAUAAAACAAUGUAAAUAACCAAAAGCUCUUGAAUAGAUGUUCACUUGAGCUUUGCCACCAUACAAAUAUGGUGCGCCAGUGCCUGUGCUUUGAAAUUGCCGUUGAUAUGAGCUUUGUUGGAAAGAAUAUAUAUAGCCAAUGUGAAAUUACCAUUUGCCCCUCUUGAAUUUUCCUAGCAGCAAAAAGGCCCCAUCCAUGUACUCCAGAUCGACCACAGGAGACCCUCUUAUUUUCAGUUUUCUGAAAUCAUCAAACAUAGAGUUUACCCACAUGAUUACAUAGCCUUUCAAGACGCACAAUCACUCAGAGACCAAACCUGUAAAAAAUGAAGCCGUUCUUUGAACGUAGAAAAAGUUUGGUCGCCAUUCUGAUCCUGUUCACAAGGAAUAAGAUGUUUAAAUCUUUCUAGCAUUCAAAUCUUCCAAAAAUGAAAAUGACAACACUCGCAAUGGGCCAAUUACCAUGUAUGAGUUCAAACCCUCGAUCAAAUCCUGGGAGUGGUGUUGGGGUCCAGUUAUACGAUGGGGAAUUGCCUCGCCUUGUUCUUUCUGCAAAUUGCAAAUAACUUAGUACUAAUGGCUUGCUGACAUAAAACCAGAAAAGAAAACUGGACACAAGAUCCAUAGGGCAAGGAAAGUAAAUAUCGAACGGCAACAAGUCUGGUACCAGCACUUGAAACUAAUAAUAACCGCCUAAGUAAUGUCCAACAGACGAGCAAGGGGAUGUUGCAGUCACUUAGAAAUGUAUGCAUGUGACACAAUCAGCACUACUCCCUCCUUUUCACAAAGGUUGGUGUAUUUGGUUUCAUUAAGACAAGGCUUUGACCAAUAAUUACUCUAUUAAUAUGUAACUUAUAUGAUACGAAACCAUGAUUAUUAGCAAGAACUUUUAAAGACGAAUCUAUUGAUAUAAAUUUCAUGUAUGAAAAAACACAUAUUAAUAGAGUUAUCAUUGGUCAAACCCUUGUCUUAACGAAACAAAAUAUGCAAACCUUUGUGAAAAGGAGGGAGUAUCUUUUAUCGAAUAAUGUGAUUGCAUGAUAGUGGAGUAUGGAGGGGCAGACAAAACCAGGAUGCUUGAAAUACCUUGUUUUUCAACAUUUCAUAAGGUAGACACCUCACAGCUGGGCAGUCAGAAUUUUUAGCCGGAAAGGCCUGGUGGUUUUCCUUGUCAAGUCUUGCAGGAGACUGCUUCUCAUUAUUUUGGUUCAAAAGUUUGGUAGAGAAAACUCCUUCAGGUGUCUUCACUAUCAAGACAUUAUCCGGGUUGGGGGUACUAAAGCACAAAAUAAGAGUAUAACAUGUAUCAACAACACAAAUUUGUUAAGUUAUGAUAAUCAAUCCUUCAGGGUAAAUUUUCACUUCUGUAAAUAAGAAUAUAACAUUGUUCCAAGGUUGUGCCAUGUCGAUGGAUCAUAUUAUCACUGUCUUCUUCUUUCUUAAAAUCAAAAUCAAUUAGGUAUUGGUAUUAAAAGCAACCCCAAAUGAACACACAAAAGGAGGUCCAUAUAAGGAUUGAAGCGAAUUUAAAAUUAUUCCUUAAAAAAGAAAUCACUUGUUAAUUUAUAAACUUAACAUUAAAAAAUAGAAAGACUAAGGUGGGAGAAUAACAUUACCUGUGAAAUGCACAGUAGGAAACCAUUUUUGUCACUUGACUUCCAUUUCUUUCAGUGUAUUGCAACUACAACAAAAUAGAACGACAAUUGCAAUCAGUUUUUUCUGUUAAAUAAUGGGUUCAAUGACCAGUAAAAGAGUCAAUUAAAUGAUGCAUAAUUUAAACAACUGUAGCAAGUCAUGCUUUAAAGACAGCAUGCUAAACAACUUUGGGCACUGGCGCUGAUGGAAGUAGCUGAGCAAUGGGAAAAUUACGGCAAAAGGGACUUCUCCACAACAAAGCUUAAACAUACAUGGGAAGUAGCGAAUAAACUUGUGUCACAGUAACAUUACAGCAGUAGACUAUCAGGCUGCUAAGUGGUCCAUGCUCAAAACCUAAUCUUAUAGCCGAGCAUUAUAUAGCUAAUAGCAUAUAUUUUGUUUUCAAAAGAGUGUUUGCAGGUUGAAUGAAAAUAUAAAAUAAAUUGAAUAUGCAAACAUUCGAUAUCCGGCUCUUGAAAUUGGAUAUGCAAAAAAAAGAAAAGGCAAAAGCAGUCUACCUCCAUGCAAUAUCCCGCUCUUGAUGCACACAUUGUAUGAUAAAAAGUUGAACACUUGUAGCACUGGGUGCAGGCCCCGUGCAUCUGUUUGCAUAUAACGCAUGUCUGGGGUUAACAAAGAAAACAGAGUUAAGCAAAGAGUAAGGUGAGAUUUGAACACAACACGUACAAUAAUACCCACUAGGUAACCUUAUGGAAAAUACCAAAUCAAAAUAAUUACCCUCUUAAAGUACUCAGAAGGAAUGUUCAAUAUGCCCGUAGCUGGCUCCAUUGUCUCCUCAAAAGGAAAGGAGACUUUAGGCUGAUACCAGGCACAUGUGAUAUGAACCCACAGUUGGUCAAUUUCAGUUGGCUUGAGAGCACCCCCUAGGGCGAUCAAAGAGAAGCACAAGUUAACAGCAUGAAUGACCGAUAAGAAACAUAAUAAACAAUAUGAUGGAAAAUUAGAUACUACUGUGCACCAAUCCAAACUUAUCACAUAAGCAGUGCAAAAUUAAAAUUGAGCGAGGAACACACUAAAAGACCUCAGAAUAAUUAUGACACUUUAGGAAAUUACUGAACUAUCCAAACAAUUCUGGUCAAAGGUAAGUCAUGAAACUAUGAAGCACAAACAAUGAGGCCCUGUUUCAGAUGCAGGAAUUUCAAGGAACCGUCUCUCUUCCUAUAGAAAUUAGGAAACAACCUAGCAUUCCAACCAAUAUAUUAUAGGAUAGGAUAUACAUCAAGAGAAAAAUACCUUUGACAGGACAUAAGCAACAUUGUCUCUUUUGUUGGGGCACUUCACAUGCUCGACAAACCCAAUUGGUAAAAUCUUGCACAACACGAGCUCCAUAGCACUCUUGGUGAACAGCUAUCUGACAUCUGAACAUAUGAAUUUUGGAGAGCUUUUGUCAACUACUAAUCAUAGCAAUUACUACCGCCAUUUCAUAAUAUAGGGUGUGCUAUGUUUCGUUAAGACAAGCUUGAUUAAGAAUUACUCCAUUAUAUGUGGUCGAUAUGAUACAAUCUUUUUUAAUUAUCAGUAAGUGUUUUCGAAAACGAAUCUAGUGAUGGCAAUUUCAUGUCAUAUAAACCACAUAUUAACAUAGUAAUUAUUGGUCAAAGCCCUAUCUCAAGGAAACCAAAUACGCCUUCUAUUAUGAAAUGGAUGGAGUGAAAGGAAGUGUUCAAACAUUGAAGGAAGUCUUAAACGAAGGGUGUUAAAACCCAAAUGAUGGUAGGAAAUACCUGUUACAAAUGAUAAUUUUGUUGUAGUCCCAAUCCUCAACCCAACGACAGACAGCACAACGUUCAGUUGUCCAUUUAGCAUAGACUGGACUAUAAGAGUUUGCUGCGGAUAUUGGAAGAAAUCAAUCACAUGAAGUCAUGUUACAACCACCAAUUGCGCAGAACAAAAUUAAGAACUAGCAUAUACCUUGUAAUGUAAGCAACUCUUCUUUCUUAAUACUUGGUGUAGAAGACUUAAAAUUCCCACCAGGGAUAUCAUCAAGCUGCAGAUAAUGACAAAAAAGGAACUUUGUCAGUUUCAUGUGCACUAGUGUUGAUAGGCAUCCACAUGUUUAAUGGACCACGAACUUCUGAAUUGUUGAAUCUUGAGGGCUUACCAUGCCAAUUAGUGGUUCCCCGGUGCUCUUGAGUUUAAUACUCAUCUUCCAAUUUUUCUUCCUUGAGCCAGUAUGUCUCUCCCACUCAUUCAGACUCAUCAUCCUUUCCUUGCAAGACUUGCAUUGACAUAAUAUCCUGCCAACAACAGCAAUAACUCAAAUAUCAGUAGUUGUAAGCACACUUGAGGAAAUCAAUGUAGCAACUGUGGAUAGUUUUCAUUGCUAAAUAAGACCUAAGGACCAACCUAAAGUUUACUUGCUUAUGGACCAGCAGUAAAUUAAAGGACCAAUUGCAAACAUUCAGUAGCCACAAGUCCCUAGAAUUUUAUGGUACCUUAGCCCUCAGGUCAAUUUUCAAGCACAAUAAAUGAAACAAAAGAGAAAAAUUACUGCUCAAGAAAAGAACAUGAGAAGUCUAAUAUGUUUCUUAUUUCUGUCUGAGCAGUUGACUUCAUAGAAUUUGUGGGAUUGGCCAAAAUAACAUACAUUAAAAUCAGAUAUAGAGCAUUGGUAAUAAAGCGAACUUAAAGAAACAUGUAAUCUGAACAUGAAAGAUAUGCCAAAAUGCUUACAUGUGCUUCUCAGGUAUGUACAAUGCCUCCAUCCCAAAGCAGCACACAGGUAUGGAUUCAGGCAAUUUUUCCUUUGAAGUUUUAUCAGGAAAUCUGUGUAGAAACAUGUUAGGAACUGGCAUUUUUAUAUAUUAUAGCAGUCAAUAAAUAACUCACUCUGAACUGUUGGGCAUGUUCGUAUGUUCAGCUCGCAGCACUCUCUUGCGUUUUGAUUUGCAAUCAGGACAGAAAUACUCAGUAUUUUCUAGAUCCUACAAAAUAAUGGUGCAGUCAGUGAAGUCUAUCCAUAGAAGCAUUGCAUAUAGACUAUGGCAUUAAAAUGUCAACACCAAAACAAAAUGAACAAAAAACCUCCAGGUCGCUGCACGUCCGGUCACAUUCUACAUGAACCCAAAUCUCACAUUCAUCACAACACACCUACCAAGAAGUGCAUUGCAGGUCAGUGCCCAACAACAAUCAAGAUAAACUAUAACAGCAAAGCAUAUAGCCUUCUAGGCUUACCCAGUUUCCUCCAUCUGUGUGGUGCCAAAUUUUCUUGCAUAUGCCACAGUAUUGCUUUGACUGCAAUAGCUGCAGACAUAGUGAUGUUUAUACACGUAAGGCACUAAAUACAAAGCAACAAGUUAACAGAACACAAAAAACGCUUACUUCACAAUGACACAUCAAACACAUACCUUUUCACAGUGCCUACAAAGUAACUGCUCUACCUCUUGCUUCUUUUUCUUUGAAAUCUUGGAUGUAAGACGAUUACCACAACUUUCACAACAUGCUGCUGAUUUACCAACAACCUGCAACAAAGUAGAUUACAUCCUAGCUGAAGGGUUAUAGUAUGAGGCGUCUACGAGCUCAACUGGUAAGUUUUCACCACAUCCAGGUACCUGAGAAUCCGAUUGACACUCUUGCUCAUUAUUAGAACCAGUCACUUCAUUUAUGCCAUCAGCGACAGACUGGUCAUUGGCAGCCUUCUCCAGCGAGCACCCCUCAUCUAUUUGGAGCUCAAAAAAACCACGCUCAGCCAGGAAAGCCUCCUCAAUCGCUGCACGGAAUUUGCUUGGCUUGAGCUUAUACAGAGGUUGUCCCUGAAACCUGGUAGAAGAGAAAGAACUUCAGACAAAGUCAAGUAGGUAAAGCCAUGUUCACCUCCAUAUGCCAGAAGUUUACCUGUCCAUAUACUCCACAAAGGGAAAGAGCAUCCCUUGCUUAACCCAUCCAUAGUCCUGCAAUAGAAUAUGCCAAUGUGAGACCCCACAAACAGAAAGGAAAUGGUUGGUUCAUAUCCACAUAUAUAUUACUUGGUUUAAGUUGCAUCUGGUGAAAGUGUGAAACUGAGGCAAUAUUAAUAGGAGUUCUAUAGUCAUGUUUAAGCUAUGUUUCUUUUUUUGCGGAAACGUUUAAGCUAUGGGUUUCAUAAACCAAACAACUGAACCAAGAAAAAAACUGCAAAGCUUAAACAGGAAAAUGUAACCCAUUACCCUGCCAUGGCCACCAGCAGAGUGACCAAAGAACAUGACACAGAUCGCACCAGGAAUGCAAGAGUUGAGCACAACCUCUGGUGCGUGCAACAGCGGGUCAAUAACAAGGGCUGGCCACGCUGGGCACUUCUUCCCCGCCCUUGCCCACACUACAUCCCCGAGCACAAAAUCCUCUGGCCAGUAAAAAUCCUCUCUUCUCACUCCGCUCUCCCUCUUCGGCUUGCACUCCACCACCACGGGCCUCGUCUCUGGCACGCCAUUCCCACCAGCAUUGCUCACGGACGUGACUGCACUGCCCACCACAGGCCUCUUCUCUAUCCCGCCAUUCCCACCAGCAUUGCUGACGGACGUGACCACACUGCCCACCACAGGCCUCUUCUCUAGUCCGUCAUUCCCACCGGCAUUACUGACAGACGUAACCACGCUGCCACUGAAACAGCCCGAGGUGCUGCUCCUGCUGAUGUUCCGACACGCCCGGUACAGCUCCUCCUCCGUCUGCGCCGGCUGCUCCUCGCCAGUCCACACCACGGUACGCACGGCCCCAAAGGAAGCAGCUUUGGGCGAAGCUGCGCGCACCUCCACCUCGUACACCUCCCCAUCGCCAUCCUCCGUCGCCACCACGGCCUUGCAGGCCUUCUUCGGAGGCGCCGUCGUCGACACGGCCGCGUCCUUGAACCGCGACGGGACGACGCGCUCCCGGCGGCGCUUCGCGGGCGCCAUGCCCUCGGCAGCGGGGGGCUCCCCCUCGCGCGGGACGGCGGCGGUGCAGCGCUUGAGCGGGAGGCGGGAGGCGGGCAUGGCACUAGCACCGCCGGCGGCUAGGGCAUGGGCGGGCGCGCGGGCGAAUCCCUGGAAUCCGGAACAGGGGAGUCGAAUUUGCGGCGCGACGGGGGUGAUGGACGCGCCGAGGCCUUAGGGUUCCGACGGUGUCGAGAUGGGAUUUACUUAAGGACGGGGGAUUAUUCGGCUCGGAGGUGGGGAAUCGGGGGGGAUUUUGGGCGGAUUCGGACGAUGCGCGCCGACCCCGGAGAGCGAAAGUUUGGGGUUUCCCUCCGAGCCGCCGAGGGAUUUGGGGGGGGAUGUGCGGGGGGUUUUGAACGAAAAAAUUUGGAACGCGGUGUCGGGGUCCGGGGAGGAGAAGCGAAGAAGAGAGUGAGGCUCGCCGCCGCGAGAUGGUCAGGUAGGGGCGGGCCGUCAGCUGCGGAAAAGGGUUUUCGCGCGGAUCUGGGUCCUGUGGCGGGAUCUGACCUGGGGCGUUCCAGGUUCCAGAAUUUUGGGGACAUUUUGAGUCGAAACCGGAAAAAGAACUCCAGGUCGUGAGAUGCCCGCCACGCGAUCGCCGCCUCUGCUUUAUUUAUUACGCGGACACAGGCCGCCAGGCAAGCUCCAAGUAAGCGUGACCAUGGAUCUCCCCGACGAGAUGCUGGCACAAGUCCUGCGCCGCCUCCCGCCACGGUACCUUGCCGUGUGCCGUGGUGUCUGCAGGAACUGGCGCAUCGUGGUCGACGCUGACGGGCUGCUGCUUGCUGCCUCCGCGCACCUCCUGCCACGGCCCAUGCGCGGCAUAUUCAUCAACUACUUCGGAAAGGAGUGGCACAGCUUCUUUUCACGUCCUGCCGCGCCGUCGCCGGGCAGCCUGGCAUCGACGUGGCGCUCCGCUUCCUGUCGGAAUCUGAUGAUGGGUGGCGGCUCUCUAGCCGCAUCUUGGACCACAGCAACGGUCUCCUUCUGUGCCGAAAUAAGGCGGCGAUGAUGUACUAUGCAAUUCACUCACGUAUGCUAACUAAAAAUUUCUGUAACAACCUGCGGGACACCAUCUAGUUUUUAUAAAGAGCACCGUUCAUUUUAAAUUACUGUGCUCGGUUCGACUUUAACCCCAAAUCAUGAAACUUUCUGUAGAAAUUGUAAAAUGGUAUAGCGUUCUCCUAUCCUGAUUCUGAGCUGAUGGUCUUGUAUUUCAGGACUUUUAGGAAAACGUGGAUAUAAGGAUGCAACAACUCACAAAAUUUUCAUAAUCGCUCGGUUUUUUUUUAAGAAAAGCAGUCGAUUGCCAUUCGAUUAGGAAGAAGAGUAUAUUUUAAUUACAAACGGGUGAAAACCAUGAAAAAGGAUCACGGUGGCAACAAUUGUUGCCCCAAUUGAGCAAACAAGAGUUUAGUUUAGUUGCUUGCGUUAGCGAUCUACAAAUCACACUUGAGAUUUGUCUCGUCUUGUCGAUGCCACUUUUCACUUACUCCCACUCCCACCCACACAUUUUUCUCUCCUUCUCUUCUCGUCCCACCCGUGGCCUCUAUUCCCCUCGAGCACCAGUCCGAUGUUUUAUACUCCCUCCGAUCCAUAUUAAUUGUCUCAAAUUUACCCAAAUAUAUAUGUAUCUAUUCUUAGAUAGCGUCUAGAUACAUGUAAUAUUUCGACAAUUAAUAUGGAUCGGAGAUAGUGGCACAGUUGGAGGGAUGACUCACGUGUUGACACUCCCAGCGGACGUCAAGCAGGCACACAUCCGUGGUGCUUCUGAGGACGGCUGGUUUGUGCUCGCUUGGAUUCAGCCCUGCCGCCACCAGCUUUUCCAUCUGACCACCGGCGGCAGAAUUGAGUUACCUGUCACCACGAUUGUGGAUCAAGAGGUUCGCCAGGUGUGGCUUCAGUCAGCAGUUCUAUCAGCUUCUCCUGUGGCAUACAGUGGCCAGCAUCUUGACGGUUGAAGGAAAUGAACAUCCGAGAAUCGGUUUCUGGCGAGAGGAGAGUGAGCAUUGGGUUCUGGAGACGUCCCUGGCCUCUCAAGUGCUGGAUAUGGUAUAUUAUCUCCGUACUCUGCAUGUCCUUACCGCUGAUGAGAACAUCCAUAUGAUUGCGACUGAGUUCGAUGAGAACGGAGGAUUGACAGCAUGGAGGCUAGAUUACCGUGUUCAGCAGCGAGACGAUUAUGUUGCAGAUGGCCAGCUAGUCGGGGGACACGUAAGAAACUACUUGCUCGAGUCUAACGCGUCUUUGCUCAUGGUUAUCAAGCUUGAGGGCCAGAACCAAAAAAACACAUCUGCUUCGGGUUGUCAGUCUGGAAGUGGAGACCGAGGAUGACGUGCAAGAUGUCUUCGGCGUGAACGAAUUCUUUAACUUGUUUGCAAAUGGCGACGUUGAUAGAAUUCCUGGCCGCGCAACCUGGGAGCAGGUUCACUUCCAUUUUCGUCGUCUUCUCUUCAUUGGGACAGCAUGUUCUAGACCCUUCGACACUGAGCGAGCUGAAAGGUCGGCAAUAUAUUUCCAUGACCAUCGGCGUCUAACGGCGCCAGACACUGGACUCUUCUCUGUCGAUGACAUGGGACGGUUCUUGAUUCUGGAUGGACGUGUUGAGGCAUGGCCUCCGGUGGUGGAGGGCGAUCGUCUGCUCCCUCAGGUUUCGGAUAUUCCAAGACCCAUCUGGUGGAUCCGUUGAUGUCUCUCUGUAGGGUUGAGUACUAAUCGUGCAUUUCUUCUACUGGCUUUUAACCACGUGGCCGUGGGUUCGGUCCCCACGGUCAGCAUCAAUGACGAUGUUUCACUUCAGCAAUACCUAAACUCAAGGGUUUUGACUAAGGAGAGCACAUGGUGCACCACUAACUUCGUCGACUAACAAGGACUAGGAAAAACGCAAGGUUUACUCAGAUUCGGAGCACUCGAUGAGGUAACACCCAUACGUCCUGUUUUUUUGGUGUAUUGUAUUGAUCAGGGUUACAGCUCUGGAGCUAUGAUGCGCAGAUAAGAUCUGACGUGUGUGUAGAGGAUGCCCAUUCUCGAUCCCUCCUCCUAGCUUUAUAUAUUGGCGGAUAGUUCUCGGGCGUGAUAAUCGGGAAGGUUACAAUCAGAUCGGUACAUUCUGGUACAGUAAGAUUACGUUCAUUGGCUUGAGCCGCACUUUGAGGGAGUCGACCCGCAUAUACUUGAAUGGGCCUUCGAGUGGACCCCAUGUUGGGCUGUUUUAGGUAUAUGAAGGUUGAGGACUUGAAGAGUCAUUGCAUGUAUCUAGACGCUUUUAAAGAAUAGAUACAUUCAUAUUUGAGCAAAUUUGAGUGAAGAAUUUAAAAUCAGAGGGAGUAGCUGUUUAGACUCUAGAAAAUGGAAGCAGGUUUUCUAGGUAAUAGUUCACUCGAAACAUGACUGCAUUACAGGUUAUCUUUAGCAUGCUCUGUUCGCUUGCUCAUACUGGCCAACUUUUUCGAUAAAGCACUGCAAUUUAUCUCUGUAUGAGUGUAGAAGUGAAUAAUUCCUACAAGAUCUGAAGCAAACAUCCUGCUAGUCUGAAUAGACCAUUCUUUUUUUGGGGGAAACUUUAAGAUGUGUUAAUGCUUGGUUUGCUGUGAUACUGGUGCUGAAUGCUGACAGGGAUAGUCACAAAGUGGAACACAAGUACACUAGAGCAGGUCUCUCAUUUUCUAGAAUAAUACUACUCCCUCCAUUUCAUAAUUCUUGUCGAAAUAUUACAUGUAUCUAGACGUUUUUUAAGAAUAGAUACAUUCAUUUUUGAGCAAAUUUGAGACAAGAAUUAUAGAAUGGAGGGAGUACAUCGCUAGCUGUUUAGACUCUAGAAAAUGAAAGUAGGAAAAUGCACAGCUGUAGCAGGUUUUCUGUCGUGUUUGAUUGAACAAUGUUUCAAUACUUUCUAGUGUUUUCAUCCUUCGCACAACUAUGCAGAACACACACACUUCAGAGCAAACACUAUCAUAUUAACCAAUCAAACUUCUCAUUAGUGAAGACAAAACAUGUAAUGCAUGGACUAAGAUGCAUACAUGAUUUGAGGACUCGACCAUCUAUCAUAUUCAUCUUCAAGGAUUUGAGGAAGAUCAUACUGGAAAAUGGUAGUUGGAUUCCUGCAAAAUACUUGAAAUAUUAAUGGGCAGUCAAAAUAUAUGUAGUACUUUGACAAAGAUAUGAACAUACUAUUGCAGUACAUGUGUUUUACAAGGGCAUUCUUCAUCGAUGCCACUUUCAAUCUAACUCAAUAUUAGAAUAUAUAAAUCCCCUCAAAUUCCAUUUCUACAUCUAUUUUGACCAUUAAAACGUAAAUAAAUAUAAAUGGAAGAAGGAUGAGUACGUUAAACUAGACAUGUUCAUUGGCAGUCAAGUCCAGCUCAGCCCAGCAUUCCUGGGCUUACUCCCUGGUCCAGGCUCAGGACUAGAAUUUCAGCCAUCUAGAAAUUCAAGGGUCUAAGGCUGUGCUCGAAACAUACUGGUAUCAUUUCCACAUGACUGAUCUAGAUACCUUUACAUAUGAGUUUUCAUGACUAUUAGAAUAACAGGUACAUAGAUAUCUUUUCGUACAAGAUUUACCAUGAACAAGUAGUUCAUUGAUGAGAUCAUUGUAGUACUCUAAUCCUUUUGGAUUGACUUCUCCUCUGCCAUCUAUGGACGUGCCAAAGGUAAUCAAGAUUGUAUCUUUUUAAGAAAUUUCAUCUAAACAGUGAAACUUUGUGACAAGUUAGUCAAAAACAGACGAGGAAUAAGCCUUGACCAAGAGAUAGAGAACCUAUAAGCAUCCAGCCCAGUCUCUUUCAUUAAUUUGAUAUCCUCCUGGAAUAAACACGAGUAAACGAUACAAUGUUAUUAGUAUGCAAAAUUUACCAGCAUCAACUACCAUCCCUAGAGGAGCUAGAGUUAGUUAAGGAGCAGCAGUAAUCAUGUAGAACCAUUCUUAUUUUGUAAGGUGGUUUGGCUAGUCUUGUGGAAUGUGGAAUCUUUCUUGUAUAGGAUCUUGGUUUCAAAACCCCAUUAGAAGAUCAGAACUGCAGGGCAUCAUUAUGGAGAGAUUUCCACAUACACCACGCAUAGUCAAACACUUGGACCCAGUCUGUUAGUAGUAUAGGCCAUAUCUUGAUUGAUACAAAACAAGCCACAGACCAACAAUUACGUCAUCAGUAUGCAGUUUAUGUAGUAACAUAAAAGAGAUAAAAUUGAUGUUAUUAGAUUCGUAUUAAAAUAAAUACUUAUGAUUGUGAGUUUGUAUCACAAACCACAUAUCAACGACUAAUGUAGACCAAAGGCUUGUCGUAACCAGCCACGAUAACCCCUGUAAAAAAACAGAGGGAGUAAGAUAGGUGAAGCUAGAAUGUUUUCUCAUGCAGAUAUUUUACAAUAACCAACAUUUCUAUCCCCCCCCCCCCUCGAAAAAUGGACCAUACCAAGGCAGCUUAACUGUAAAUAGCCUGCUACGCACAGUUUGCGUAGCAUCCACAUGAGCAAUUGUGUUAUAACAUGAUAUAAUCCAAUUAAGAGUUGCAGAACUAAAUCCAACAAGAAUUGACAUACCUUGUACUUGUGGUAGCCGUCAGCUGCCACAUCACCACCAUCUACAGGAUCAUCACCUGUAUUGCAGAACUUGUAGGGGCGGAGGCAUAGUCCAUAUGCACAAUCCACCUCUUUCUAUUCCCCGUCAUGAAGUGGGUGAAGCAGAAAAGGAUCAUUCACUUCGGCUGGUUUUCUCUGCCCAGAUUUCAUUCAGAGCCAACCGAACAUAUCCAUCAGCCUUGACAUUUUGGGUUGGUCCUGCGACCCAAUGGGCCUUUUCAACCCAUCGUCAUCCCUAAUUUUUUCACUUUUUUCCCUAUCACGUAGAAACAACGGCAGAAGGAAAUGCGUCGAAACAAUGUCCCACCUUACCUCUUCUUUUGCAGCAGCAGCACCGAUAAAACCGGUAAUUACAAACCAGCCCCAAUUUAACAUCUCAUUGCUCAUUGUUAAUGCCGUUCACAUUUUUGUACAAAAACAAUUUCCUUUCACUUUGCUAAAGCAUGAAUAAACACCAUUUUUCUGAUUCGGGCUGUUCUUUCACAUUUCAAAGCGGUUGCUUUCGUUCGCUCCCGUUUCUCAAAACGCUGUACUAGUAGUCGCCAAAGGGCAUUUAAAAGAAAACUAAACCAGAGGACACGGAUAAAAAGCACGGAAUAGAACACAAACAGGCAUCCAAAUUGAACUUCAUUUAGCCCCACACGAUAUCAUAGAAUAAUUCAGGCUGUGCCAUCAGACACAAGAACACAUAAAACGCACUCGGCAAUUCUUCUGGAACUGCAAGCCAGUCGAUUCUUCUUCCUACGAGCAACACAAGGAAAUACUACGGCAACUACUGGUAAACAUGACUUGCUGCAGCAUAGUCAAGAUGCAGGAAACGGAGCGGGAAGAAGCACAGCAGUCAGAUCUGAGAUCUUCAUACAGUGGUAUCAGCGCCUAGUACUUCUUGUUGGGGCACUCGCGGGAGAAGUGGCCAGACUCGCCGCAGGAGAAGCACCCGCCGCCGCCGCCGCCGCCCCCACCGCGACCACCGCCGCCGCCGUAACCACCGCCACCGCCGCCGCCCUGGGAGCAGUCCCUGGAGAUAUGGCCCUCUUCGCCGCACUUGUAGCAUGCACGGCCGCCGCCGCCACCACCGCCGUAGCCGCCGCCGCCGCCUCCGUAGCCACGGUCGCCGCCGCCGCCGUAGCCACCGCCUCCGUAGCCCCCUCCGCCGCCGUAGCUGCGCCCUCCGCGGUCGCCGUAGCCACCGCCACCGCCUCCGCCUUCGCUGGGGCGGGGGCCGCCGGGCAGCGAGCCUCCUCCAGGAGCAGUGACGUCGGCGGCCUUGGUGCGGCCGUCGUCGCCGGACUCGAUGGAGAACUCGACGGUGUCGCCCUCGUUCAGGCUGCGGUAGCCGUCGGACUUGAUGGCGGACUGGUGCACGAAGAGGUCCUCGCCGCCAUCCUCCGGGGAGAUGAAGCCGAACCCCUUGCUGACGUUGAACCACUUCACCGUCCCCUUCACCCUCUCCGACAUCUUCCGCCGCCGCCGCCGAAGACCCGAAGGCCAAAAACCCUAGCAGAGAAACCCUAGAUCGGUGUGGAGGCGGAGGGGGAGGGAGCAGUGUGAGGCAUGGAGGCGGAAGGGAGGGCGUGAUUUAUAGCGGCUCAAGGGUGGGGCCGACCAGAGCGCGAGGAGCCUGGGUGCUUGUCGCUGACAUGUAGGGCACCGCAUGGUCAAAGGAAAAUAGGUCGUGGGUAUCGACGCCUGCACCGACGUAUCUUCUGCCUUUAAUUGCACGGAGAGGAGAAAAUAUCUCGCUGCUACUGUAGCAGAGAGCGCAGCGGCCGCGAAGGGGAGCGGAAGGGGGAGGGGGUCACGUGAUGGCAGGCAGAAGAGGGGCUGGGUGACUCGGUCAAAAGGCAAAAGGCGCCUUGUUUUCCAUUUCCUUUUUCUAACUGGUUUCGAACGAUGGGAAAGCGUGCAAACUUUAGCUUCGAGCUUGGACGGACUUGGUGCAAGACGGGAAAAAGGCAAAAGCUGAUGAUGCUCUUUUUUCACUGUGUGGGCGUGAUCGAUCGGGAUCCGAGGGGCGACUCUUUUUAAUUUACAACAAAAGAGUAUGUUCAUUGUUCACGAUCAAAAGUUGCCUUGAAUUAGCAUUUUUAAUCAAAAGUUCUAAAUAAGAAGUGAUUUUUCACAAUUUUUCAUGGAGAUUCCUUAUCUUUUCAUAUUAAUCUUUUGAAAUUACAUGGUUAUAGAGUAUCAAAUUUGUUAUACAGGUAUAAAGUACUCCAUCCUUCCGGUUUGUUGGCCUGUUCUCUCAGGUUGGAUCCGGUAACCAAUGCAGAUUCAAUCACUAAGGGCAUUUCCAACUGAAGGUACUAAGCAGAUACUAGUCCUACGUGGCGAAGAGAUGAAGAAAAAAAAUUAGUACUAGUUACUUGCAGAAGUAACAGCUUGCACGGGUACCAAAAAUGAAAAAAGAGUGACAUGUUGAUCCAUUAGAAAAAAGAAGAGAAUAAACAAAAGAAAGAUGAGAGAGAUGCAAAUUAGUAACGGCUUGACAUUAAAAAUGCCCUAACUACAUUCUUAAAAGAAGAAUCACAAAAAAAUCUACUUACCAUUUCUCAGGCGUUUUCUCUCUCCGAAAUCUCUAAUUAAAUGCCCGCUUUAGCUACUAUAGAAAAAAGGGAGGCACAGUGCUCAUGAGAAAAUCGGAGAGAUCGGCCUAUCUAUCUGAAAUCGGGACGCCAACGAGAUCAGCCCAACAAACCAGAACGAAAAAAAAGGGAGAUGAAUGGCUCACGAGAAAAUAGGGGAGAUCAACCUAUCUAUCUGAAAUCGGGAUGCCAAAAAGAUCGGCCCAACAAACCAGAACAGACGGAGUAUCAACUUCUCUAUUUCUCCACUUAAAGUUCCGAGAUAACCUAGAUCAGGCAAAAUAGACAAAUUUGGUUAGCUCUUUCAGAUGUUAAAUUAGUUUUGAAGUUCUUCAUACAUGCCACUCUUUAUGCAUACAAAAAUACAGCUAAGGUAUAUGAACUACCCAUUUUUACUACUCAAAAUGGUAGUCACGACAUGUGCACAAUCUUAUCAAAUAGAGAGCUAAUAUUGGAUUUGCAGUCUCACAAAAUUAUAGCGUCGAUGAUUGAAACUGUAGGCCAGUUCUGUCUCCAUAAUUUCAUACUAAUCUCCAAAACAAUAAAAAAAAAGUGUAGCCUUAUGCGAUCAAACUACUACUAGGUUAGUAAGACAAUGACAUAAAUUGUCUGAUCUACUCAGAAAUUGGUAAAUAUCGAUUGCUCUCCCAAAUGACGAGGUUUACUAACCAAGGCUUCAUCGAACAGAAGCAGCACAAGCAACCAAACCAUCCUUGAUGCUUGAUAGACCAAAAACUGACACAAAAGAAGCAAACUAUUUCUCUGGUUCGGUGAUGAUAGUUGGCAAGUAAAGAAACUUCCAAGCUGAACAAAAGAUAGAUCAGAGCCAAGAUCUUUAGCUGAUACAAAAUUAUGCACCUGGAGAUGUUCAGCAAUAGCAUGUCUAAAUUGUGAUCUGUGAACCAGAGCACAUGUGUUACCUCUUAAUUAAGGAACGCUGCAUGUUGAAAUAGUUCUCUACAUGACAUACUAGUAGAACAGGGCAAAACAAAAUCCCUUUGCCCCUUUGUGCCUAAGUCUUAUGUUCCCAUACUUCUACAAUCUAAAUAGAAGGUUCAGGUUUAAGGAUCCCAUAAUUUAAGCCGAGAUAUAACCGAAGGUUUACUCCAAAAGGAAAGGAAAAAAGGAUGUUAUCUUGGAAUGACUAUCCAAGCUUGAAUCGCAUAUGAGAAGUCAAAUACGAAGCACUCAAGAAGCCUAGUAUUUCACUCUAAUCUUGUAUUUUGCACGCUUGGCACUUUCUCCACAGAUAUAAUGUGUGCUUGUCUUUGUAUCUGCGACAGACGGUUUGCACUAUAAAUUGCCGACAAAUAGCAUGUCCAAAACCAUAAGGGAAUGCUUUUCACUGACCUUUCAAACAUGCCAUGAUUAUGAUGCUCACUGUAGCAAGGGAGAACUGCAAUUUUGGACAAAUCUAGGACGACUGAUUAAAACAAUAUCAUCAUAACGACAUGUAUAGAAUCUGUAUUAGAAAGGUAGAAUCUAGCUGGCAACGAUCAAAAAGACCUAGUGGUGUUGAGGGGAGGGCAGGCAGUAACCAACAGGAUUGGAAAAUGACUGAACUAACGUUGCAAUGCUGAGCUUGCGUCUAUGUUCACAUGGGAACUGUUAUGGCAACCUGGUCGAAGCCACCUUUUUAGGGAAACUAGCAGGCCCCUGGCUCAUGGGCCAAUUGGGGGAUUUUGCGUGGAAAGACACAUGACACUCACUGAUAACCGGCAUUAUAUAAAAGUAAACAUGACAUGCCUGAUAAGAUUAAUCCGAGAACUAAGACAAUGUCUUUGAUAAUAUCACUCGUCAAUUAGUUCUAGAAGCAAGCACAAUCGAGACAAAUGGAACUGCAGCAGAAGAUCAUCUAAUCGUUUAGACAAAGGCAUGACAAAGCAAAGCCUGGCACACAGCUUGCAUUGCACAAAAGCGAACUCUGUGUCUCCUAGUUCUCCUUAUAAUCCCAAAGUUUGGUAGUCUGAUCAUUGCAAUUGGAGAUGAAAUAACUCAUGUCUCUAAGGCUAUCAACAAAUGUAAUCCCAUCUAAAUGACCUAUAAAAGCACCUGCUGGCACACCUGAAUGCACUCCAGGCCCAGGGUGAGGCUUUCUGUCAUACUUCCCCACCCGUGUAUCAUAUCGCAUGAUCCUGCUUCUACAUUCCCAUUCUAGGAUGACAACAUUUUAAGCGUGGUAAGCUGUGUCCUUCAAUAUUAGAAGUAAGAACAAGCGAACAAGCAAAAUGACCCCUUGGAUCAUAGCCAUUUCUCUGAAUACGUAAAUCCCGUAAUCAGAAAAUUCCUACCUGGUACCCCCAUCAUCUGCGUUUCUGCAUUCCCGCGAGAAGUAGUUUCUCCUUUCUUCUCCCAUUCCAGAGAGCCUAGAUUGAUCAGGUUUAUGUGAUAUUGAAUCCGGUUCUGUAACAGCAGCAACAGAUCCUAUUUCAUGGUCAACAAAGACCUGAUCAGAUCUCUUCAAACAAUAGCUAAUAUUAAUUUAAACACAGUUAUGUACGCAUCAGAUCCUAUUAGUAUGUUAGAAGGUACAACGUGCAUACCUAUCUGACUGAGUACAACAACCUAAAAUUCUGCACAAGUCUAAAUGAUACCUAGAAACAAAAGAACCACAAGGACACAAGAGAAUCCAAGUCCAGAAACAUAUCACAUUUUUUAUAAGAUCACAAAAGGCAGAUCCAUCAAUAAGCUAUUAAUAGCUGUCAAGAUCCAGUGAUUGAUGUUUCAAGUGCAUAAUGAUUUUAGAUCAUGACAAGUGCAACUUGCAUAAUAAUAAUAAGAGAAUGAUGCUUGGCAAGAGAUAGAUAUACUCCCUCCGUCACAUGUAUCUAGACAUAUUUUAGUAUAUAGAUACGUCCAUAUUUAGACAAAUUUGAGUCACUUAAUAUGGGACGGAGGGAGUAUAAGCAAAGGUAUAUCUAUAGCAACAUUGUAUCGUUUUUUGCAGAAUCGACACUGCCAUUUUUUGGUGCCACUUGGAAAUACGAACCUCACUGCAAACAUGGUACCACCACAAUCUAUAUGCUAAAGAAAUCAGACUAUAUAGAAAUUUGCCAAUUAUAGAGGCCUUCAAUUUUAGUUACCAAGUUACCAGAGUAUAUAGAAAUUUGCUAAUUAUGUCCCUACAUUGAACAGAGCAAUCGUUAUGUCAGAAUGGUUAAAACAGUUUCUUAGGGUGAGCAAACAUUUAUACACAUGACAGUACGCAGUAGUGAACUUGAGUUAAUCGAAAAUGAGAAAAAAAAAUCACAAUAGCACAUUUAGGACAGUAGAGAGGCAGAGCUCCAAUCUCUCCCUUUUGAAAAAAUGAGCAACAAACAUACAGCCUCAAAACAAUCUGCUCUUGAUAAUUUACAAUGCAGAGGAGUGGUGAUCUUGCAUAGGACAGUACAUGGUGCAAUGCAGAGCGGUGAUCUUGUAUUAGUCGACAGGCACAGAGCAACAAACGUGGGGCAGUACAUGGUGCUGCGUGGUGAGCGGCGCCGCUGCACGUGGCGCGCCGCGGUGGAGGUGUUUGCCAUAAAAAAUAAUUACAUUCUGAAUUUGCCAUGACAGAAAAAAAUGAGAGUACACUGGUCAGUGUUUUUGUGUUACUGCUUGUCAGUUAAACCAUUUUUCAUACCUAUGCAAUGAGACAAUGUAGAAUUGACAGCUACCACUACUCUGCCGCAACUCUUUAUUGCAGGAUUUCACUAUCAUGUCAUCAUUCAUAUGGAUUAAACAAAAUCACACACACAAAAAAAGACAUCCGGUAUACUUUUUCUCCAAGAACAGCCAACCACUUAUUUUCUAGACUUCAUGUAGUACUACUGAUGGUUGGAGUAUGAGCUAAUCCAUCGAACUGCCUUCUCACCUGACCUGGAACAUGAAGUUGUGGGAAGAGAGCCACAAAGGCUUCUUUGGUUCCUUACUCUGAAUUUACAUUCUUUUUCCGUGAUUUUGAAUUUUUCUCUCAUUUUUUUAUGGUGAAUGUGUUCUCAUUUCUCAACCUCUCACCCACAAAGGCCACAUCAUUUUAUGAAACAUAAGUAUGGAUUGUGACCUACCCAAAAAGGCCACAUCAUUCUGUUUCACAUGUAUAUCCAGAAUGAUGGAAUUGAUUGUGACCUAUCAAUUCCAUCACUUUAACCAGUUCCAUCAAACAAAAACUGUAUUUAUGUUUAUUUAGUUAAAGAUUGCCGGUCAUUACGGAAAUCAUCCUCAACAUUUUCUUCUGCAGUGAACAGAAUUUUCCUCAGAAGGAAGAAACUAUUUUGAAAAUAAAUAAAUAAGUUUUACUAUAUGACAACAAAAAACUUCAAAUUGUACUCCUAUAUUUGAAUAAAAGAAACUGUAUGUAUGUACAAAUACGUUUAAAUCAUUCAUACAUCUUGAAACUUCAACAGCGUGAUAACAUAUUAAGUCAAUUGGAUCAUACUACUGAUAAAAUAUACAAAACUGACCUGGCACUGAAGCAUUUCAUGGCAAUCCAUACUCAUGCUAAUCCACUAGCAAAAAUCUCUAAUUAUGUUUGUUAACUGAGGCUUCUUCCGUAAAUAUUACUCCCUCCGAUCCAUAAUAAGUGUCGCUGAAAGUAGUAUUUAGCAAAAGUCAUGAAAUGAAUACCAGUGGAAAUAACUACUACCUCCGAUCCAAAAUAAGUGUCGCAGUUUCGAACUAGGUUUGAACUAGGAUUAGUUCAAAAUUGAGACACUUAUUUUGGAUCGCAGGGGUACUAUAAAAGCAAUACGAGCUCAGGCGCCUGUGUGCUGGCAAAUCCGAAUUAUAGCCUAAGAGCAAUCACAUGAAGGACAAAGUUAAUUGCAAAAUACAAUAGUCAAAAAAUUAGCGUCAGUUAGUUUAAUAGAAUGGCACUCAACCAAUGAAGCCAAUUGCUGAAACAUGACACUCUACUCAAUUUAGUAAGUCAGAAAUCUAUCAUCCCCAACGCAACACGCACGCAUGGUCUCUUUUUUGUGGGAGAUGAGGCCUAGCGACAUAAUGAUAAACCAUGGCGCGACACUGCUGCUGAAGUAAACAAAAAAUACGGAUUAAUUUGAUUCCUGACCUCAUGAGGUGGGCGGCGGCGGGGUGGGCGAUGAGGAUGUGGAUGUAGCACUCGAUCUUCUUGCUGGCGGGGGUCGGCGGCGGCGGCGUGGUCGUCCGAGGCGUUGGAGGACGGCGUCGGCGGAGUCGUGGACGUUGGCGCCCUGGACGGCGUCUGCGUAGUCGUGGAUUGCAGCGGCGGAUUCAAGAGACAGCGGCGGUGGCGGCGUGCAGGACGCGGGAGGAUGGCUCUAGGUGAAAAAAAAGGCAAGGCGCCGUGGGGUAGGAGAUAUUUUUGGAGGUGAUUCGACGAAGAGCAGAGGCAUUUGGGGGAGAUAAUUCGGUGUUUUCUGCAGAAAAGGAGAGACGCGGUAGCUGGAGAAGAGAGAGAGAGGCACGAGGAAGAAGAUGGAGGUUUGGGAUAUCUGCAGUGGAGCCCAGCUUGCGGACACGGGAGGCUUUAAACAUUAUGGAAAAAUAAUUUUAGGCUCGUGUUUUUAAGGUGAGCCCCAUCUAAUGGUGGGUUUUGGAAUUACGGAUUGGAGAUGCCCUAAUCACGAAUAGUAAAACCAAAAGUUUUCAAAAAAAUAAAAAUAAAAAUGGAAUGAGUUCAUUACGUAUGUGUUUAGAAUCUUACAAAAUUUCAAAUCCACAUAUUGUCCUUUUGUUUCUCUGAAUGUACGGGGAAUUUGAAUUUGAAAUUUUGUCAGAUUCUAGACAUAUUUAAUGAACUCACUCUUUUCUUGAAUUUUUUGAAAUUGCAUUUUGGUGAUGCUAUUUUGUGUUGGUAGCAUCCAAAAGGGUGGGAGCACAUGAUAUCUUUUCGGUAAUCACUCAAGUAAUGGGCAUAUCGGGUAUUGGGCGCUUUUUUCGUUUUCUUUUGUUUAGAAAAGGUAAAUGAAACUCAUACAUCAUUCCCCGCAAAAAAAAACCUCAUAUAUCAUUCGGAAUAUCGACUGCAUCCAUUUAAAUCGUGAUGGAAGGUGGAGGAUUUUUGGAUCUGGCACUACCGGUGCUUUUAUUAGCAGUGGCGAUGAUGGUGAUUGUAGAUGUAUAGUGAAUUUUAAAGUAACCAAGAUCACGUAAACCGUUAUAUUCACUCAUUUUCACAAAGGUUGGCGUAUUUGAUUUUGCUAAGACAAAACUUUGACCAAUAAUUAUUAAUAUGUAAUCUAUAUGAUAGGAAACCACAAUUAUCAUCAAGAACUUUUGAAUAGGAAUCUGUUGAUAUACAUUUCAUGUCAGUAACAAACACAUAUAAAUAAAAUAAUUCAGUGUCAGAACCUUGUCUUAACAAAAGCAAAAAUGCCAACCUUUGUGAAAAAUAAGGGACUAAGAAGUUUCUCCAGAGGAACAUGGUAUCACACAUUUACAUGCCUCUUUAUCUUAAGAUGUACCUUUUGAUGAGGGAUGUAGCUUCUUUGUCUAUUUGAACGACGUUGUCACUUGACAAGUCAGGUGAACACAAACGAUGUAACGAUAUCAAUAUUUGGUUUAGCUAUACAUUGAUUACCUCCACCUGCUUCUUCUUUUGAAGUUUUGAUCCUUCUCAAUAUUUUGCCUUGCCAUAAUAUCUUUAUCCUUACUCCAGGGCAAGGCAAUGGUGGAACAUAUGCAUAUUUACCUUCGAUAUGCAUAUUGACUUCAUUAUUAAUGGUUGACACUAUAGUUUCUUCUUUAGUGACACUGUCAUAAUGUUCUCAUUUUUUUAGGUACCUGCAAAUGCUCAGUACAUGUUUUUAUAGUCUGCAAAACAAUGCCAGAAUCAAGAUGGAAAUCUCCGCUCAAUUCAUCAACGUUUUGGGUCUUGGAGAAGGAUUUAAUACAAUCAUAAUCAAGUUCUAUCCCUUCAUCAUCUCCUUACAUAAUUCCCAAACCUCGUGAUCGACAUGGAUUCUAUCUAAUAAACCCCUAGCUUGAGCCAUAGUUUGGAACUGACAACCGAAAGUUUUACAAUGUCGCUGCUGAUUGUGAUGGAAUGAGAUUACAUAGAAUGAUCUAAAGUAAGGUGGCUAUGGUGGAGAUGGCUUCGGCUCACGACGUUCCUUUUGGAUGAUUUGUUCCUCAUGUCAACAUCUCCCCGAAAGUACCAAUUUUCCAUUUUAUCAUGUCCAUAUCUGCAAGGAAUAAAACAAAGAUUUCAACAUGAGAUAUAAUUUUUUAGAUCUUGGCGCGAUGAAGAUAAAGGUGAAAACAUAUCGUCAAUUGGGCACACGUUUGGAAGAUAAAAAAAAUUGAAAAUUGAAACCGAAGGAGUCGCGUGUAGAUACAAUAAUCGACGCAUGCUGUGUUUAGCUUGGGCACAUGUGCUCUCUAGUCGGGCCUAAUUUCUUUCCGAUGGGUCCUACGUGCACACAAAAUUGGUGUCAUUACAUUGGAAAGAAAAAACAAAUUUAGCACCAAUGUUAAGCGGUACUAGAUGGCAGAUUUGAUAUUUGGCACAAUGUGGAUUCCAAAUUCAGCUACAUAUCACUCUAGAAUAGGCUUUGCAUAAAUUGCUUCAGUUUCUUAGCUCAGUAGUAAAAUUAAAAAUGUUCAGCAAUGGCACUCAAGAUGUCAAUGUAUAUAUUAUACUUCCUCCGUCCCAUAUUAAGUGACUCAAAGUUAUCCAAAUAUGGAUGCAUCUAUGCCUAAAGAGCAUCUAGAUACAUGUAAUAGAAAGUCACUUAAUAUGGGACGGAGGGAGUAGUUUAGUAUUCUGCUUCCAAAAAUAUAUCAUGAUGGAAAGAUGUAGAAAAUUUGAGAUAUGUUUGGUUCUUGCCUAAAUUUGUCAUGCCAAAAUUUUGACAACCAUCAUGAUUUCAGUUUUCACUUGGUCGAUUGGCGAGAUAUUGGUUGCUAUGGAAUCUUAUCUCAUGCUACCUUUGUUCCAUAAUUCUUGUCUCAAAUUUGUCCAAAAAUGGAUGUAUUUAUUUUUAAAAAGCAUCAAGAUCCAUGUAAUAUUUUGUACCUUACAAUCCCUUCACAAUUAUCAUCAAGAUUUUAGCCAACAAAAGAUUAAAAAAACUCUAAUUAAUAUUUUGCCAGCGACGAAAAGAUUUUACGUCAAGUGACGAAGGGUCACUGACAUGUGAGUCCCCAACGAGGAGAGGGCCACAUGUCAGGAGACCCUUUGGCCCCCUCCACCAGAACAAGAAGAAGCAGAUCUGCAAGAACCCCACUGCAAAAGCAAAUUCCUAAGUUCAAUCCCCGGUCGCAUCGCACCCAUGGACGACGUUGUCACCGACGCGCCGCCGCCGUCCCGCUUCUCCCCCGACGACCUCGACAACUUCGCCGUCCCCCCACCGCAGCCCACCCCCAUCCUAGUCGUUUCCCCCAACCCUAGCCCCGCCCCGCGCCUCCUCAUCGUCCUCAUCUCCCCAACCUCCCUCGCCCUCCUCCCCUCCCCGCCGCCGCCGCUCCACGCCUCCCUCCUCCUCCCCGACCUCCCCCUGCAUCAAUCUCAACCCCCCAUCCGCGUCUACCUCCACCCGUCCUCCGGCACCCUCCUCGCCGCCGCCCACGGCGCCGUCCCCGCCCACCGCGCGCGCGCCGCCGCCAGGAGCCUCGUCUCCGCUCUCCAGCCGGAGGAGGUCCUGGUCCUCGAUGCGGUCCGCAGCGGGGCCUACAGGGGCAUGCUCGCCGCAGACGAGCCGGUAGAGGGGAAGCUGGAGACAAGGGCCGCGCGCCGGAGGGGCGGCGUGGGCGCGGCCAAGGGCGUCGCGGUGCUCGCGCCUCCUGGGAGCGUCAUGGACGGGCUCGGCGCGGCCGUCAUGGCGGAGUGCGAGAUCCGGGGAAGGGCCGCAAGCAUGGUGGUGACUUGGCCGGCGGCCGCCAGGCCUUCUGAUUUCGGUGUCAUGCGUCGCGUGGCGACGGAGCUCGGCGUCGAUCCGGUGAAGGCCGCGGCCAGGGUGUCCGGCCGGGCCGAGUUGGGCGCACUGUAUACCUAAGAUACUUCCUUUUUUUACUUCUCAGCUCAUGGUUCGUCAGUUCUGUUGUUUGACAAUUGUGUUUGACAAGGAAGUUGGAGAAAACUUGUGUAUCAGGAAUUCAGGAUUCAGCGGAGAUGAUUUAGCGUUCGGGGCAAUGUAUUAUGGAAUAUUAUGGCCACGCAAAUUAGAAUUUACUACAUUUGUGUUGUUGCCGUGUUUGCUCUGAGAUGUGUCACACUGUCACUGCAUUCGUGUUGCUGUUGGCUGUUGCUGCCUCGGAUGUCUGCCUGUAACUUUUUAAGCACCUUGGUGUUACAAUAUUGGUCGUUUCACUAAACAUAGCUGCCCAAAUUCCUUCCACCGGAGCUGUGCAUUCAGGAAGGAAUGAACCUUACUAGACACCAUUGCAAGGCAUGUUCAUGGUCAUAUGGGAAAGAACAUAAUUAAAAAGAAAAAUCAAAAUCAAUUCUAACUUCGGGAUAGUUUCUAUCUGUUUUUCACAAACCGGACAUACAACCUGGAUUUGAGAUUUUAAAUUGUAUAUGCGCUGCCUCCAUGAAUACACAUGGAAACGACCAAAAGUUUCUUAAAGCAGAAGAAAAAUUAACGCAAACAGAUAAUUCAAAAGAGACGAUAACCUAUACCCUACAAAAACAAAGUACUUGUUGCCUUUUCUGUGUUGGAAAUUUCUAAAAGAUGGAGAAAACAACUUUUAUUAUUGAUGACACAAGCUGCCACACAGAGCAGCAUAACAAGGGGCGCACACCGGAGAAUGCUGCCAUUCUCCAAGAAAAACAAGACAUGAUGAGAAAAGGGGGACAAAACACGCAUGGGGAUACCAGCCGGAGGGAAAUGGGAUACUAAUGGGAUGGGGAUACCAACCGGAGGUAAUGGGAUACUAAUGGGACGAACAAAUGGAAUAAAUGUUUUAAGUGCUCCCAGGAGAGCAAGGUAUCCGGUUUAAAUUAAAACUACAAUCUGGUAUGGCACCUUCGCACGCCUGAGGACAAGACGCAAAAGCAGCAUCAGAAAUGACACCAGAAAAUUGCUCUUUGGGAACGUCAGUAAUACCGCCUACUGAGUUGCAACAAGGUUGCAGAGCUUUGGCAUCAGGAAGGAGCCCCCCCUCACCGUUAUUCGGAACUUGUUCCUCAGUAUAACAAGCACGCCCCUCAAGAUGGUUGCUGAUGAAACUUUUGUCUCCGGUAUCUGAGGUUACAUUGUCUUCUUCUAUGUUGCUGCAAUCUUUUGCUAACCCAGAGUCACCUGACAUGCCAAAAUCAGUUCCGUGAUGUGCCGGGUUGUUAUUGUGCACUUCAUCAGACAUACCAGUACAAGGCAAUGCCUGCACUUCGCUGACAGUAACAUGGCCUUCAUCCACCAUGUCCACAGAAGGCCCCUUAAUCACCUCUUCACUUUCUGGUUGUGAAGAUGAUGCGGGGGAUUUGGAUUUCACGGAACCAGCACUUGAACUAUAAAGCGCCAUGGCUUUCUGUAGAACACAGAGUAAUGCAUUUAGGAUUCCUGUACUUCAUAGCAAAUGGCUAUAAACCAAUUAGAGGAAUAAUAGAUCAAAAAUUAAGAAGGUUAUGGUGUAACAAUUCAUAAGUUAUAUAAGCAUUCCAUUAACAACUUGAUACCUCUUUAUGCUACCAAACAAUCAUCUGAGCUGGUAAUUACUAGUGCCAUACUUUAUCUAUUGCAAAAUUUAACACAUUGGGCUGAAAAUAAAUAAAUAAAUUAGGAAGACAAUGAGAUAAGAUAGGAUAAGUCAACUACAACGAUAGUUAUGAGUUUGAAAGCUCUAGGGUGGUCUAGCAUGUGGCAUAGACAUGCAAAGCACUGUGGCAUGUUUCAUGUACUCCCUCCGUCCGGAAAUAAGUGACUUGGAUUUGUAUAAAAAUCUAUACAAAUCCAAGUCACUUAUUUCCAGACGGAGGGAGUAUGAUUUUCCAAUGCCAUGCAUAGGUAGAAAUUCCUCAAUACAAACAAUCAAACAAUCAAACCAUGUAAGCCAAAAUUUUGGCAACAGGCAGCCACAUGGUUUAUGCAUACAUAUAUGGUUCUGUGUGGACUUCAGCUUAGAAGCCAUAUAGCCCAUGCCAGGUAGGCACAAAGAUUAUGUUUCUAGGAGCUUAUCAAGUGAAGGAAAAAGCCCUACUCAAGAGGCUUGCAUAACAGGGUGACUGGCAGAUGUGACAAAUACUCCCUCCGUUCCAUAAUUCUUGUCGAAAUAUUACAUGUAUCUAGACACUUUUUAAGAAUAGAUACAUCCAUUUUUGGUCAAAUUUGAGACAAGAAUUAUGGAACAGAGGAAGUAUUAAACAGCACCAUUCAUGCACUGUUGGUACGCUAUCAUGAAUGCUUGCUGGGUCUUUCGAAACCAUUGUUAAUCCUGGAGAAAUGUACCUCAAAUAUGGAAGUUGUUUUCCCAGAAAAUAUGGAUUGCAUAAUGUGUUUGAAACCAUGCGCUUGGUAUCCGUGCUCAUCUUUACUACUCUAGAAAAGGGAAAGUAAUGGUUAAUAUUAAUAAUAAACUAAAACAUUUUUUAAACAGUUGUUAAUCAUUCCAAAUACCUUUAAGGACCGUUUCAUGGUAGCUUUACAUGAUGCAGACGGCUCCAACUCCAUCGUCAUUGUAACACAUUGUUUGUACAACUCUGGUGAAGCAAGGCUUGUAGAAAUGUGAAGCCUCUUAAAGUAGUUAGAGCAAAACCGAGAACCCACUUCUACGCUAGAAGGCACAGGCUUGCUAUUAGAUCUAUAUUUUGGAGCAUGUGCAUCAGUUUUUUCAGCAUUGGUCUCAUCAACUGUUUUGACCUCAGCGCUCUCACUUCGAUUUUGACCUGGGAAUUGCGUCAAUAUAGGCUUGUCAGAAGUAUGAGACAAAGGUGGCACCUCUGACUGCUGUUGAAAAUCAGGAUCUUUAUUCCUGACUAGUUCAUGUCUGUCAUAGCUGUGUGAGUGUUCUUCAAAGACACUUCUGCUUGCAUCCCAACCUGGCAAUUGAGAGAGAUAUGGGUCUUCAGCAGGAUUGUGCCACUGAAAUGAUUGUGCACAAUGAGAAAAACUUUCAGGAUGUCCAUGCAUAGGAUAAGGAACCCCGGUGUGAUUUGUCUCCAUAGAAGGCCGUAUCCCAUAUAAAGAUUGAUGGAAGUGGUGCAUAGCUGGGUGAAAACCAGGGAUUUGAGGCCCAUGGUGGAAAGGACCAAAACCAUUAGGUAUUGGUGAAGACCAUGAAGAAGGAUUAUUCCAAGUGUUACCAUGUCCUCUUGCAUUAUCAACAGUACCGCUUCUUCUAGAGCGGCUGCUUGAUCUGCGUUCUCUAAUCUGACUCCAGUUAUCAUCAUCAAACUCUAUUUGGCUAUCCAUCUCAGAUCUAUCAGGUGGCGGGUGGAGAUGCCCUGGUGAUGCUGUUUGAUAAUUCUCGGUAGCUUGACGGUUCAAUAAUAAAUCAUUAUGCCUAGUAUUACCUUUCUUCAUUGAGCCAUCACUAGUAUCAUGACUAUGCCUCAGAUUGCUCCGGAUCAAAACUUGCUGAUCACUCGCUGAUGGUAGUCUCUCACUAAAAUGGACUGAUCGGCCAUCAGAUCUCAAACUUCCAUCAUUUUGUGAGGGAAGAGACAAUUCAUUGCAAUUGGCAUCAAGUUUGUUCUGAUCCUCAACAGACUGAAAGUCAGAUGCAUGUCUAUGUCUUCCAAGAGCAGCACCAUAUUCCCCGGGUGAGGGUUCUUCUUGUUUCGUGCAAUGCCUGAAAUGAACAAUGAUCUGGUAAAUUUUCAGAUAGUCACGUUGCCAUGAACAAUAAUAUUCCUAUCGUAUCUCUUGCCUAGAAGACGCUACUGGGAUAUCGUCCCUUAUUUGAUACCUAGGGCUGCACCUCCUAUAGGUAUGUACGCCCAUGACACACAUGUAUUCAGUUUGUAACUUUUUAACAGUCCUACAAUUCUAACAGUCCUACAUGAUGAGAAGUUCUCACUCUUAACAAUUCCUAGCUCUGUUAAAAAGAGCCUGUGAAUACAUGUCCAAAAGAGAAAAAGAAACUUAACUUGUGCUCCACUAAUCUAUCUUCCAAUACUUUAAAAAAAUCCAUCUUCAACAAGACAAAGUAGCUCCAUGACUCAGAUUAACACACAAAUAAUCUUCAUAUAGUCUAGAUCUCUUUAUGACGACUCAGUAGUGUUUUUAUUAUUUGAGAAGAAAUCCGAGUUUUUGUAGCUCAUUUGUUGAGCUUUAUCUGUUUUGAGUAUUUGCAGCAUUAUAGAAAAUAAAUUCAUUUAAAAGAAAUAGAAUCUAAUAAAGGCAUAAAGAUAAUGUUCACUCCCAUUAGGACAGUGGAAGAAAUUACCUGCUUUGCUCCUUGGCAGGAUAUGUGCUCGAUCUAGUGGAGCUCUUUCUCUCAAAAUCCCUCUUCCGAGAAUCAAAUUUCUCAUAUUCCCGUCUAAGAUCUUCACUACCUACCUCAGACCUGCGUUUAGUGGCAUCUCCAUGAUAUUCUUUUGCAUUGUGAGUUUCCCUAUCACCAUUAAGAGCACUUUCUUCAUAGGACCUUUUUUCCCCUUUGUUAUUAUCUCUAUACUUAGAGCUCCUAAGAUCAGCAACAGAUGGGUUGCCCUCAUUUUCAUAAAGUAUAUUUUUAUUGUAUCUGUUCUCUGAGUAACUAUGUUCUUCUUUGUAGUGCUUUUCCAAAGACCUGUCUCUAGUGUUGUCCUUUGACGAUCGCACAUCCCAUGAUCCACCAUCUUGAUUCCUAUGAUUUCUAUAACUAUCAUCUCGGUGUCUCUCCCGAGAGCUGUUAUCAGAUCUUUCAUUCCUAGGCUUCUCUUUGUAUCUUUCGUCCUUAUUAUGCCUGUCCUCUCUCGAUCUUUCCUCUCUGUAUUUUCCAUCCCUAUGCCUAUCUUCAUGUCGAGAGCUUUCCUCUUUAUACCUUUCAUCUCCGCGCCUUUCCUCUUCUUUUUGCCUAUCAUCUAUGUAUUUAUUAUUUUUAUAUCUAUCAUGAGCUUUGGACCUAUCAUCCUUGUAUUUUUCUUCUUUACGUUUUUCCAGACCUCUAGACAUGUCACCUUUGGCCUUCUCAUCUGUGUGUUGUUCUUCAUAACAUCCAGCAACUUUGGUACGAACAUCCCUAGGCAUGGUUUGCCUGUCCCUGCUGCCACUUUGUGAUUCAUCUUUCCCAUCAGAGUGAUCCUUUAUUUUCCUGUGCCUCCGCUCUCCACUGUGCAACUCAUCUUGAUGUUGAUGGUCCACUAAUAGAAUGAAAACAAUAUUAUCAAUAGAAAUGUUAAUAAAAAUGCUCCAGAGAUAUAUAACAUGCUCAGAAAGUAAAACUCGCAAUAAAAGCACACAAAUAUCUUCUUUUGAUUAAUGUGGUAUUUAUUACAAUCCUGAUAUUAUGACCAUAGGCGGUGUCCUUACGAAACGGCUUUCACAAUAGGGACAUGAGCAUAGAACAAUGGAUGAUGCAGAUGGCUCAAUAAUUGUUGAGAUGCCAUGAUAGUCAGAUAGCCAGUUUUCAAAAUGAGAAUACUGAAUAGACAAGAAACAAUACAGAUAUGAUAGUCAGAUAGCCUGUUCUGAAAAGAAUACUGAAUAGAUAAGAAACAAGACAGCAUAAACUAUUUGAGAUGACAUACAUUCUACCACUGCAUAGGAACAAGUCACAUAUAACAUUUUUUCACAUUGAAACCAUCUUGACAAUAUAAUGAAUGGUUCAUUUAUCAAGAAUUAAAAUGAAUGCGGAAUUUGCUUUCCUGGGGUUCCAGCAUCCCUGACCCCUCCCCGACCUGUCAGACGUUCAUUAAUUUUAUUCUUCAAAUUAGCUGUAAUUGUAAAUGGUAUCAAGUGUUAACAUACUCUCAUCAAGUGUACAAAACUACAAACUGUCAAAUGCUUCAUGGACAGCUGGAGUACACAAUGCAGACCCCCACCUGCACCUGCGGUUGCACAUUAUCAUAUCUAUGCAGUCUUGUAUGGUCACAACUUUUAUGCAUUAUGCACAAGCACCAGAUGCUAUUAUUAUGUAGGUGCGCCUAUUAUGUAUGACCUGUUGAAUCAUGUCAACUUUAAUCUAUCUCUGAACUGUGCUCUCCAAUACAGGCAUUUUACUUUACAUGUCAAGAUGAAGGGAUACUCAGUUAUAACUUGAGGGCAUGUGGAUCUUCAUGAUGAGACUAAGGGGUAUAAACUUUCUACUUGGUAAAUUAUAGAUAAAAUACUUGUCAAAUCAUAAUUUAAAUAAACUGAUUCUUAACACAUUUAACACCAUGAUAUGCCACAAAAAAAAACUUGACAACACUGCAACACAUACAUGUGUGCACACACAACGUACAAGUUCCACCCUCCCUAGUCCCUAGGCUACAUAAUACAAAAACAUGCAUGUCGGGGGGAUGACCCCGGGUAGGGUCAUGGCGACACAACUCUAGCCGAGAUGACGGAGGCAAGGCCGGCAUAGUUAUAUAUGCCGGCAUCGUAAAGUCAAACUAACACUAAGCCGGCAUCCCAGGCGCAUGCCGGCAUGGCUAUUUUGUCUUAUGAGUUUGCAGGAUAAGGACGAGCACCUUGUUGCCGAGAUCUCUCAACGGUCUUAUCCUGACCACGCGGUGCAAAGUAAAGCAGCGCCAUCAUCAUCUCAGGAAAAGCGGUCAGCACCUACGUACCGAUGCCAGGCAACUGCAGAGAGGAAGCACCGAAAGAGAAUUUCUGACGGAAGCCGGCAGAGGAUAGCGGUACUUUCUGCAGGGUGCCAGGGAAAAGUAAAGUUGUCUUGUCCCCUACGGUGCCACCCGGAGGGAACCAAGCCGUGUGCCCGACGGGGCCCAAAGAAGAUGACGUUAGACUCGGCCCACAUGUCAGUGUGACAUGGGCGGCCUAUAAAUAGAACCUUACCCCUCUGUAGAAAGAGAGGGUGCACUUAGACAUAUAGGGUUUCUCCUCCUCCUCCUCCUCCUCCUUCUUCUCCUUCUUCAGGAAUACAGCUCAAGGAGCGCCAUUGUAGAGCUUCUCUAUCUCGGCUAAUACAACAAAGUAAGAGUAGGAGUCUUACCUCGGCAAGAGGGCUCCGAACCUGGGUAAAUCCGUGUGUGCUUGUGCAACUUGUGCGUGUUUCUCUUCACGUCCUCCCUCCUCCGGAUCCUCCAUCGUCCAUCGACCCCAAGUUAAGCCAUCCUAUGGCAUCUGCCGUGACACCACCACGACAGUUGGCGCCCACCGUGGGGCCAGCAGCGGCGCUUGCUGGAGUUUUCAUCCGGACGGGAAGCGCGUGGUCUCCGGUUUGGUCCAGAGAUUCGGCUCUCUGGGCUUCAUCGACAACAACGCGGGCUGCUUCAACGGUGCAUCGCUUCCCUGUGCAGGCCGCUUCAUCAACUUCGGCAUGCACGAGGUUUAUGUUGCUACCGACAGUCCCUGCAGGUACCCAGAGCAGGUGGCGAUGGCCGAAGAUCCCCCCGCCAUCUGCACGGUCCGCGGCCGGAACGCCGACUGCCCCGCUAACCGUGUGGAGGUCAUGGUGACGGCUCAUGGCGUCGAUGCGGGAAGGGACGCUGCAGGAAGUGGCGCGGUCCCAACCAAGUCCGGCAGAACGGCGAAGCUCCCCUUGGAGAAGCCGGAGAACAUCGCCGCUCAAGCCGGCACAUCAGCUCUGCCGCCGAAGCCAACUCAGAUCCAGGCCUCCAUCGAACGGCUGACCGCGCCGGUAGCGUCGAACGCUAACCCGGCCCAGCUGCAGGCGGAGUUGGAGUUGGAGAGACAGAAGCUGCUGAAAGACAACAGCUCGACAUCUCGCUCCUGAGUAUAACAAAGCCCAUGGUCUUAGUUCUACUGCGUUUACUAACCCUAGCCGAGUUAGGGAGGUGCCUAAUCGUGGUAAGAACUUGAAUGCCGAGAUGACAAGAGAUGGCAGGGGUGCACCAGCAGCGUCGGCAAGUUUUGCCUCGGCACUGAAGCCGAAAUACAAUACCCCUGUCAAAAAUCUCAGGGAUGCCGAUGCUGCGGCUGAUGAGUUGCCGAAUCUUACGGGAGAGGCACUUCGGCAGCAGCAGCUGCGCGUGAAAGAGCUGCUCCAAACAGCUAACGAGCAGAAUGAGGCGUAUAUGAGAAUGCACGGCAAACCCGGCACGUCUUAGGUUAUUCACUCGCCUGCAGAUGCCAGUGGCCGCGUUGACAAGCAAGCGUCCUCACCUGGUGGCAAACGGGACAAAAGCGUAAACUCUGGCCGGAAUAAGCAGCUGGAGCGUUAUGACCCGUCUCUGGCAGAGAAACAGAUAGUCAGAAGGGUUGAUGACAGCCAAAGUGGCCUGCGUCCCGACGACAAUCGCCGAGACCAGCAAGAACGUUACUCGUUUGAUCAUGGACACCGACCUCGGGGUCCGGCACCCAAUACUGCUGCAGGACAGCAGGGUGUCAGGCGCAACCCCCCCUAUCGAGGUGAAGAUCGCCGGUAUGAUCGUUACGAUGACGGGUACUCUGCUAUGGGCGACGAGGGUUAUAUCAGGCGAGAGCGUGACAAUCUCAGCCCGCUCGGAGCCCGAGUUGGGAACAGACAAGUAUCACCUCUGGAUGCCUGACAUCGGCUUGACAGAAUUUAUUUGUCCGAGCUUCUAGAGGAGCAAGGCCCUCCGGGACCGCGUUGCUUUGCGCAUCGGAUCAUGAGGGAGAGAUCAGCCCCCGGUUUCCAGCUGCUCAGGGGUACAAGAACGUAUGACAGCAGCACUAAGCCGGAAGAUUGGCUGGAAGACUAUGUCACGGCGGUGAGCGUGGCAGGCGGCAACCGCAGAUGGGAUGUACGUUAUGUACCCCAAAUGCUGGUAGGACCGGCAAGGAUAUGGCUGAACAACUUGCCGAAAGGCAGCAUCAAUUGCUGGAUAGACUUCGAAAAAGCUUUUGUCAGCAAUUUCACUAGCACUUACAAGAGGCCGAAUCGUCCUCAACAGUUGUCCAUGUGCAAGCAAAGAGACAACGAGACUGACCGGGAUUACCUGAUCAAGUGGAACAAUCUCCGCAAUUCCUGCGAAGGGAUAGUGGAAUCGCAAGCCAUAGCGUGGUUUGCCCAAGGAUGCUGACACGGCAGCAUGUGGCGCAUGUGUAUCGACUACACCAGCCUAAACAAGGCAUGUCCCAAAGAUCCAUUUCCGUUACCUCGGAUCGAUCAAGUGAUCGACUCCACUGCCGGGUGUGAGUUGCUGUCUUUUGUAGACGCGUACUCUGGUUUUCAUCAAAUACCACUGAACCCUAAUGAUCAAAUAAAGACAUCAUUUAUCACCCCGUUCGGGGCUUAUUGAUAUCGCACUAUGCCAUUCGGUUUGAGAAAUGCAGGGGCCACUUAUCAAAGGUGCAUGCAGAAAUGCUUGCACGAUCAACUCGGCAAAAAUGUGCAAGUAUAUGUCGACAACGUCGUCAUAAAAACCAAGGAAAGCGCCACGCUCCUGGAUGAUAUCCGGGAAACAUUCGCAAAUCUGAGAAGAUUCCGAAUGAGACUGAACCCGGCCAAAUGCACAUUCGGUGUGCCGGUAGGAAAAUUGCUUGGGUUCCUGGCAUCAAGCCGAGGUAUAGAAACAAACCAUGUGAAAAUUGCCGCUAUAGAAAGAAUGAAAUUGCCGAAGUGCCUCAAAGAUGUGCAGAAAUUCAUUGGAUGCCUAGGAUCGCUGAGUCGUUUCGUUAGUCGGCUAGGUGAAAAGGCUAUGCCCUUAUAUCAGUUGAUGAAGAAAACCGACAAAUUUGUGUGGACGCCACAGGCAAACCUAGUUUUUUCAAGAGCUGAAGAACAUGAUUGCUACAACACCAAUAUUAGCUUCGUCGAUGGAGAAGGAGCCUAUGUUGUUAUACAUAGCAGCAACGAACCGAGUCAUUAGUGCCGUGAUCGUAGUGGAAAGGGAUGAAAAUGGCAAAUCGGUGCAGAGGCCGGUAUAUUACUUGAGCGAGGUGUUAUCGUCGUCCAAGUAGAAUUAUCCCCAUUACCAAAGAAUGGCGUACGGCGUAUAUACGGCGGCAAAGAAGCUAAAGCAUUACUUUGAGGCACAUCAGAUUCGAGUUAUAUGUGAGGCGCCCGUCUCGGAAAUCAUGAGUAACAAAGACGCAAGCGGCUGAGUCGCAAAAUAGGCUAUCGAGUUGGCACCCUAUGCGCUGCAAUACGACAGACGGGAUGCCGUGAAAUCUCAGGCUCUGGCGGAUUUCCUGGUGGAUUGGGCCGAGAUGGAGUAUGAACCACCACCCCCGGAAAUUAACUACUGGAAAAUGCAUUUUGACGGCUCUAAGAUGAAAAGUGGGCUUGAUGCCGGCAUAGUUCUGACCUCGCCAAAGCGCGACCAACUUAAGUACGCAUUGCAAAUUCACUUCGCAGCAUCCAACAAUGUUGCCGAGUAUGAGGCACUUGUGCACGGACUGAAGAUGGCGAAAGAAAUUGGAGUCCGCCGGAUUCAAUGCUUUGGUGAUUCCGAUCUGGUCGUCCAGCAAGCUUCCGGUAACUGGGAUGCGUUGGACGCCAACAUGGCGCUAUACCGGUUCAAUGUUCAGAAGAUCAGUGGCCACUUCGAAGGGUGUGAAUUUCACCACAUACCUCGGGCGGAAAAUGAGGCAGCCGACACAUUAUCGAAACUCGGCUCCACACGACAGGCAAUUUCGGCUGGUGUGACGUUAGAGCAUUUACGCAAACCAUCCAUCAAGCCAUCACCAGAAUCGGAGUCCAUAUUCAUCCCGGCAAGCUCAGAUGCCGACGGCACCCCCAUGGACAUUGACAGUGGCAACAGUUCCAGUAACCCGAGGAUUGAGUGCCUUAAUUCGGCAGAAGCAAUGGCGGUUGAGCCAAUGGAUAUAGAUGUACCGGAUGAGCCGAUCUUCACUACUCGUUCUGUGCCGGCUUGGGCGCAACCGAUAAUGUCUUACCUCAAAGAUGGGAAUCUCCCGGAAGAGGAAGUGUUGGCAAGACGAAUUCAGAGAAGGGCGAAGGCGUACACCAUCAUCAAUGGCGAGCUUUACAAGAGGAGCGUUACUAACGUCCUACAGCGAUGCGUCGAGCCGGAAGAAGGGCAAGAAAUACUCCGGGAUAUUCAUCAGGGGGAGUGUGGUCAUCACGCGUGUUCGAGAACGCUAGUGGGCAAAGCUUUCCGACAUGGUUUCUAUUGGCCGAGUGCACUGCAGGAAGCAGAAGAUAUAGUUAGGAAAUGUAACGGCUGCCAGAGAUAUGCCAGCAAGAUUCAUAUGCCGGCAUCCGAACUCAAGACUAUUCCAAUCACGAGUAACCAUGUAUACGGAAGCCAAGGUAAAAGAGGCCCGAGAAAAUGAUGUCGACUUGCUCGAAGAAGCACGAGAAUUGGCUUUAUCUCGAUCGGUCAUCUAUCAACAACACCUAAGGCGUUAUCACAGUCGAAAGGUCAGCCCGUGAGUUUUCCGGGAAGGAGAUCUUCGUCCUCCGACUUGUGCAACGCACAGCCGGCAUGCACAAACUAUUACCUCCAUGGGAAGGACCCUUCAUUGUGAGCAAAGCGCUCCACAGUGAUUCCUAUUAUCUUAUAGAUGCACAAGACCCCAAGGCGAACAGGAUGGACCGGUCAGGCGAGGAGACCAAGAGGCCAUGGAACAUAGCUUUGCUUUGUCCGUUCUAUACUUGAGAGCUGAGUAUUUGUAUCGUUUUUUCCUUAUGCUGAAUGUUUUAAGACAAUGAAAUUAUCCGCCGAGUUCUUAAAAGAAACUCGGGGACUUCCAUAUCAUUUAAGUGCUGAAUUGCAUUUAUCUUUCGUAUGUCGGCGUGGCUUAGUUGCGUAAUCUUAUGUCGUCUAGUAGUGUGUCGGUGUUGAAAAUCCCCUCUAUGACUUCGUUGCUGUCCGCAACCCGACUUCAUGGCAAGCUAGAGACGGGUAUAAAAUAACCGAACACAUGAAAAGCGACUGCGGAAACAAGCAAUGAAGCAAUCCGAGAUGCACACUAUCUUAACUCGGCAUUUCUUUCUUAACUCGGUUAUUGCCGAGCGAAUUUGUCGAGUCGCUUUUUUCGAAAGGGUGGUUUUAUCACUUUGCGAUUCAUACAUUGAACGUCGGCAAGGCAAACAAAAGAACCGAAGUUAUAAAAUUUCACUAAGAGAAAAAAUGAACUCGGGGACUCGAUCGGGAAUUCAAUAAGCAAAAGACUUAAUUAAAUUAAAAACAAGAUGUCUUACAAACAAAAGUAUUCCGGCUACAUUUGCACCCAGCAUUCCGGGGAUAUGAUAUUUCUAAAGUUUUUUCUAACUUAGCUAAGAAGAGACGGAGGGGUUGUUGGCGCCGGAACUCGGCGCAUCCGUCGCGGUGGAGGCUGACUCAACAGCAGCUUCCUCGUCCGCUGCUUCUUCGCCCCCGUUGGUCAUCUCGGCUUCGGCAUCGGAUGGCGGGCCUUCCACAAACGUAUGCACAUCGGCAUACUGGAUGAAGGAGUAAGCCCGCUCCUUGCGCUUGGCGACCAACUCGGGAUCAGUAAGAUAGGGGGAGCCGACACGCAUUGACUGCAGCACGUCGAGGUUGAUGCCAUCGUACCAGGACAGUACGAACAACAGUGCCUCAUCGGCGCCGAUGCGCUCGGCCGACUCCCGCCAGUCACUCAGCCAAGACUCGACCUCCAGCAAGCGCUUGGCCAACUCCGGGAUGUCCGUCGGAGCUUCUUCUCCCGGCCACAGCGCGUGAAAGGCCCGGAUGCCGGCAUUCAGCAUGUUGACGCCGAAUGACUUGAGUGGCUUGACCCGGCUCGCAAUGCUCACCAGGUAGUCCACCAAGUCAUACUCGUACGGCACCCCUGCUGCUGCUGGCAGAUCCCUCUUUCGGCGGGCCGUCCUCACGGCCUCUUGGGCACCCUCGAGGGACUGAGGGAAGAAUU
rnacentral:lncRNA from 1 species